GUGGCGGCUUGACUACUUCCUAGUAUCAGAAUCUCUAGCUGAUAAGUUCCAUGAUUCAUACAUUCUUCCUGAUGUUACCGGUAGCGAUCAUUCUCCAAUUGGCCUUAUUCUCAAGCUCUAGUUCUUCUAGCGGCGUCAUAAAUGCUUCGUCUCAAUCUCCUACCUAUUAUUGAUUUGAUUUUGUCUGUGACAAAAUUUUGAAGAUGUUGGAAACUCUGUACAGAUCCAGCAGAAAUUUUCAGUUAGGAGGCACUCAAAUAGACACUAGUAUUUCUGUACUUGACAGCGUUGGCCGUUCGGAAACUAGCCAUUUUCUGAUUUUCGAAAUUAUUAUUGUUAACUACCUGAUUUUGAGGAGUAUUUGUCUGAUAUAAAUAUUAUAAUAAAUCUCAUACUUUAUAAAGGCUUAACUAAGUUUGUAAAUAUUAUUUUUUUUAGUAGUAAUGAUUUUGGAUCGAACUCUCAAAUCAUUAAAAUAUUUUAUGUCCAAAUUUCAUUAUGCCUAAUAUAAAUAUGGAGAUUCACAGUUAUUUUAUGUCUAGCUUUAGAAAACUGUAGUUCGAGAAUUUUUUGCCUCGUUAAAUAAUCUCUUGGAGUGAAAAAACUGAGGAAACGAGUGGUGAUUUAUUUGUAAUAGAGCGUUUGUUAUAGCUUUUAACUAUGCAUGAAAAUCAUUUGAUAUAUGUAAAUAGGUAACAUGCUUAUGCUGAAACUAGAUAUUACAUUGAAAACUUCUUGUCUGCUAUAAUUUGCUAUAUAUAUAUAACCUUUGCCAAAAGAGAAUAAGUUCAUUAGAUUAUUUUUUCUUAUUUAUACCUAUAGUAACUAUAGGUGUUCGCGGAUCGGAUUUUACGGAUUGGACAUCAAUCCAUAUCCGAUCCAUGAUUUUGCGGAUUAUAAUUUUUCAAUCCAAUCCAAUCAACGGAUUGAUAAAAUUCAAUCCAAAUCCAAUCCAUACAUCUGCGGAUCGGAUGCGGAUUUGACUCAAUCCAUAUCCAAUCCAUACGUCUGCGGAUCGGAUGAGGAUUGACUCAAUCCAUAUCCCAUCCACCAUUUUGCGCAUUAGUUUUCGAAUUAAAAAUUUUUAGUUCUCUCCAACUAAUGAAAUAAAAAAAAUCUAAUAUAAAAAUAAUUUUGCUACCAAUUAAAUUUAAAAUUGAAUAAAAUUUAAAUAAAUUAAUUAUUUAAAUAAAGUUAAAAUAAUACAUUUAAAGUUUCAAAAUAUAACACAUCGAGACUAAUUAUUCAAAUAAAGCUACAAUAAUACGUUCAAAGUUUCAAAAAUAUAACACACCAAGUUUAAUUGUUCAAAUAAAGUUACAAUAAUACAUUAAUAUAACACCGAAAUUAAUUGUUCAAAUAAAGCCACAAUUAAUUGAAAUGGCGAAGUUUCGGAAACCAAACACGGUCUGAUCUUUCACCAGGGCUGUUGCGCCUGUCGAAAAGUGGUGAUUACUGAGCCGUCCACGAUGGGAACCAGGAGAAGCCGUACGGGUGGCGAUCUUGAAGGUUGUGAUAGUGAAAUUGUUCAGCUGAAACCAGUGAAUGUGAAGUGACUCGAUGGACUUGGGAAAGAAGAUGGCUUGCUCUCGCCGGGAUCGCGCGGCCGAUGUCCUUCAAAUCCAUGUCGAGAGUGUAUCCAACCAGUAUUGAGUGUUGCUAGUGUGUGUGACGACGGGGAAGCUUAGGGUUUUUUGUUUGCAAAUUGUUGGUGACUUGACGUCAUGUUAUUUUGCUUUUGGGUGACUUUGCAAAUUGUUGGUGACUUGGCGUUAUGUUACUUUGCUUUUGCUAGUGCGUGUGACUUUGUUUUUAUUUUGUUUUACAAUUUUUACAAGUUAUAUUUGUAUAUUUGAUUAUUUAAUUAUUUAAUUAUUUUUCAUUUUAUAUUAUUAUUGGGUAAUGUCUAAGAUAUGUUAUAGUGCUUAUGUAACUAUGCAAUGUCACAUUUAUAUAUUUUUUUAAUUAAAUUUAUAAUAAUUUUUUAAUUAUAUAUAUAUAUAUAUAUAUUUUUUUUUUUUUUUUUUUUUUUUGCGGAUUCACGGAUUUUUGCGGAUUUACAGAAGUAAAUCCGCAUCCAAUCCAUCGACUGCGGAUUUUUAAAUUUUCAAUCCAUAUCCAAUCCACCAAUCCACGGAUCGGAUUUAUACGGAUCGGAUUGAGCGGAUUAGACGGAUUGAGCGGAUCGGAUUGGAUUCUGAACACCCCUACUAUAGUUGAAUAAACUAUAUAUCUUAGGUAGUUUUAAUGAAAUAAGCUACAACUUUCUUAUUUACUUAUUUUCCUUUGAAAAUAAUUGAGUUUAUUUGUAAAGAGCUUAUGAGAAUUUUUCUUUCUAAUGAAAUAAUUUUAUUUCUGUUAAUUGUUGUUUCUCUAAUGGUUGGGAGUUGGCAGCCAAUUUUUUUUUUCUUUUCCAUGUAUUCAUAUGCAAAUUUGAUUAAUGUGCUUGAAGUGUUUCUUCCUCAACUUCACUUGUAUCCUAACCCAUACAGCCUAUUAAAUGGAGAAGCUGCUAGUGUGAUAACAUAAUUACACUAUUUUUGUUCAAAGAGUGCAAGACAGUCAUCCUUCUCAAUUUAGUUUCUAGAUUUGUUAAAUUGAGCCACAAGUAGUAGGCAUUUGAUUGGGUAGUAGAAAUUUUUAUGUAUUUAAUUUAGAUUAUUUAGUUAUGAGAGUAGGAUAUUUCAUAUUUUGUUUAUUGAAGUAUUUGGAAUUUUUAAUAUAUACUAAUAAUAUUUAAAUAUGAAAUGAAAGAUUUUGUGACAUAAAUAAAUGUUUUUGUUAUUUUGUGGUGCCUUUGAAUGUUGCCAAUAAAUCAUUACGCAAUGAUCCAAUUCAAUAUUUUAUUUUUUUGAAUAAAUUAACCAAUGAUACCAUAGUAACAGUAAUUAUAGACACUAACAAAAUAUCAGCAACUACUAACACUAUGGUAUCAUAAUAUUGGUGAUAACGUAAUGUUAUUAAUCAUUGACAUCGUAUUCGUGAUACCACAAACAAGUGUCACUAUUUUUUUAAUUAUCAGAUUACUGACAUAAUUAACAAGUGUCACUAAAAGUAUUUAUGGACACUAUUCUAAUGUCAAUAAAAACCAUUUUCUAGUAGUGCAAUAUAAGACUAUGCCUCCUUACCUUUCUUUGAAGCAGAGUUAAAGAUCAUGCUUCAAAUAAAUUAUCAAAAUAGGUCUAGGCAAACUUCUUAUUAUAAUAUUAGUAAAAUUGUAUUGUAAUAUUCAUAAAAAAAAAAUUGGAGUAUUAAUGCAAACACAUGGUAUAAAGCAGUAAUUAAAAUUUUACGCACUUAAAAAUUCUUAUCCUGUUCAUUCCAAGUGAGGUAGUCCGAUGAUGGACAAAUAAGCAAUUUUAUAAACCUAAUUAUUCAAAUGUCGCUUCAAUACUUAGGAAUGAAAAUAUUGGGAUACAAAUCCGAUGUAAUGUUUUAUUUAUUCGGAGACAUAAAAGUCAUUUUAACCAUUCUGAGUUUAAAUUAAGAUUUCAUUUCCAUAACCACAUGCACCACGCUCUUAGGUCAUUCUUCAUAAUAAGCACAUAUUUGAGAGAGCUAGUGAAUUUGUGGAAUGAAAAUGGCAGUGAGCCCAUAUUAAGUUUUACAAGAACCAAGCAUUUGAUAGUAGUUUUACAUUAAAUAUAGAGAAUCAUUUUUUAGAUGCUUACCUCUCCUAACAUUCGAAUACAGACGGCCUUCUAAACUGUUGCUGGGACUUCGCAUUCGGAGUUGCUUAUAUUGUUCCCAAACAAAUUAAAGAAAGUAAAAACAGACUUGUCAAAUACUAUUUUCACCUCUCGUGCAAUGGAUUUCAAGGAUAUUUCAGUCUUUUGGGGUGUAGCACCUGAUAAUCUUCCACCUCAGAUCUCAACCUUUUGCUGGGAUCUUGAGCGUAUAUUAAAUGGGCUCCACAUUUUUUCACAUCAAAACCCUCUAUGCCUGGGCCCUCGAAAUGCUGAAUAUAGAAUUGGAUACAGAACUCGUUAUUGGAACCACCGAAUCUAUCUGAAGACACAGAGAAAUCAUACCCCAAAAGCACGUGAUCUGACUCGAUAGACGAACUUACUCCGUAAUAAUCCUCCCAUACAUAAAGGAAACAAACUGCAACAUCGUCUUUGGUUUUGAGUGUGCAUUGAACAUCAAAACCCCGUGUCUCGCCAUGAUGAUCUGGAACAAUAGCGCACAAACCAAAACCAACAAAGUUAUUGUUGAACCAACCUGGCGGCAGCUCAAGAGUUACAGAAGAUCCCAUACUUUGAAAGCUAAACCACUCUGGAAUUUCACUUCCAGGGUAACAGACAAAACUCCGAGAAGGGUUAUGAUCAUCUUUCUGCACCGCAAAAACGAUCAUUUUGUAUAAUAUUAAAUUUAACUUGGGGGAAAAAAGCAAUAAUAACUUAUAAACAUGUAUAUAUACGGACUUAUAUAGAGAGUUACCAGAUCGUCUUGUUUCCACCAUGUUGCCAUAACCUGAAUUUUCCUUAGAGCUCCUUCAACAAUUUCUCGGACCUCGUUCCGGUUCAAUUUGAAACAAUUGCCAAAGUCAAAUGUCUGGCAAUGCCGUGACGAACGUGUGAACAAUGUCGAUAAAUUUGAUAAUGUUUCCAGUGAUGUGCAGUGACGGGCAAUUAUGCUGCUACCGCAUGGAAGUUUUGGUAAGGAUUGAAGCCUCGUACAAUUGUGCAGUGUGAAGACCAACAACUUAGAUAGAUGUUUGAUGCUUGAAGGUAUUUUCUCAAAAUUGUUUUCUGCUAGAUUCAAAUAUUUUAAAGAGGGCGACUGGCCAAGACUUUCAGGUAAUUCUGUGAUGCCGCAAUCUACAAGACGCAGAACCACCAGAUUCUGUAAUUGAAAGAAAAUAGGCAAUUUCAAACCCAUUGGUGGCAAAUGACCCUUGCAUCUUUGAAAAUGUAAUGACCGAACCUCGUUCAACCAAGCAAUGGACGGCGGUACUUGGCUUAUAGCAGUUUCUUUGGCCCACAUAAUUUUCAGAGAAUUUAACUUUCCAAUUUCCUCCGGCAAUUUCUCAAGUUUUAAGCAACCAGAGAGAAAAAGGUUCUGAAGUGAUUUCAAAUUACAGAGGCUGCUCGAGACACUCUUAAGCCUUGAACAGUUUGUAAGCUCCAAAUUAACAAGUCUGGUUAGUUUUCCAAUCGAUGAAGGCAGUUCUUCAAUUGCAGUUUGGCUUAGAUCUAAGUCUUCUAUAUUACAAGAGAUCUCAGGAAACCUCUUCAAAUUUGAGCACCCUCCAAGCCAUAGCACUUUAAGGGAAACCAAAUUAAUUCCAGUUUCCUCCGGCAAUUUCUCAAGUUUUAAGCAACCAGAGAGAUCAAGGUUCUGAAGUGACUUUAAAUUACAGAGGCUGCUCGAGACACUCUUAAGCCUUGAACAGUUUGUAAGGUUCAAUUUAACAAGUCUGGAUAGAUUCCCAAUCGAUGAAGGCAGUUCUUCAAUUGCAGUUUCCCUUAGAUCUAAGUCUUCUAUAUUACAAGAGAUCUCAGGAAACCUCUUCAAAUUUGAGCACCCUUGAAGAUAUAGCACUUUAAGGGAAUCCAAAUUAAUUCCAGUCGGAAGACUCUUCAGACUAAUGCAACGACCUAGAUCAAGAAAAAAAAGCUUGUUGAGAUGUUGAAUAGAUGAGUGAAUCUCAAUCAAGCUUGCACAACCUACUAAAUCCAACCGCUCAAGAUUUAAGGCGAGUGAGAGGUCUGGGAUUCUGGAUAGCCGCUUGGAAUAGCUGAGAUUUAGACGCUUUAACGCAGCAAGGUUCUGAAAAGAAAAAAAAUCAACACCAGUAAUUAGCAUCCAUCACAUUUAAAAUUUGGUAUUGACAGAUUUUCAUAUAAAUAUUUAAGAUAUACCUGGACACCAUUCCAAAGUUGUUCAAUAUUGCUAUGAGGCAUUUCAAGUGAAACAAGAUGUUCUGGAAUAUUCUUUGAAGGCAAUGAUUUUAAAGGGUAUCCAUCCCAAUGAAAAUACCUAAAUUCAUUGAAAAGAGAUUCCAGGCAUCUUGAAUUCCGCACCUUACAUUUGUUCACUCCAGAAAAAGAGUUAUAGAAUUUGAAGAAUCUCAAUCUACACAUCUUUGUGAAAGUAUUAGGAUUCAAGCAUAUCUCUUUGACUCUAGACAUAUCCAAGGAGAUGCCCUCAAUUGCCUCACUCCCCUAAAAAAAAGGAAAGGAAAUAAUGUGUAAGGAAGUGCUAGAAUCCUAGAAUCCUAGAAUAUAUCUAUACGGUUCAUUAAGUUUUUUUUUGUUUCAUUUUCCCACGUUCUUUGUUAAGUCUAAGUUUCAAAUUACAUUUCCCAAAUUUCUUCAACUCUUAAAAUAUGAUGCAUAAGUAGGGACAUUUAAUGAAAAGCUUAGGAAUUAGGACAUAAAAUGAAAUCUCGGAAACAUAAACAAAAAUUUUGUUGCGUUGUUCAAUUAUUAUGACACAACGGCUUUACUCUAGAAUAACAUGUACAUUAUAAAUUUGAGAUUGACUAAUUCAUGAAAAUUUUAUCCUAUUUUGAAAUAUACUUAUCCUGGGCCCACACAAUAAUUCUAUAAACUUAAGAAAAUUUAUCUUAUGAUUCCCAAAGGAUUAAUUUAUUGAGAUCAAUUCUAUAACUCAAGUAUAUUUACUAAUUUAUCAAUGUUUAUAUUAUAUCAAUAUGUAGUGUUUAUAAUAAUAUUUUAUAUUAUAAUUAAAAAAUAUAAAUAGUUAAUAAUUCAAAAAUAAAAUUAUUAAUUUGAAAUUAUUAUUAUUAAUUUAAGUAUUACUAUAAAUAUUACAAUUUAAUUUGAAAUAAAUAACUAAUAAUUUAAUAAUUAUUGAUAGAUUAUCAAAUAGAAUAUUCAACAAAUUUCACUAAUUUACCUUUUAUUUAUUUUUAUAAUUCGUAACAUUACCUAUAUAAUCUAUACACUAUAACACAUCAAUCUACCAUUAGUUUUAUGUAUUUUCCUUAUUUUGUACAAAAGAGCUUUCGAUAUAUCAUAAUAUGUUUGUGGGCGAAUUAAGAAAUAAGAUUAUCAAUCUAACAAAGUACUAAACUAAUUCUUCCAUAACCAAAAUAGAAAUGGAAAUUUAAUGCUUUAACUCACAGUAUUUUUGUUCAAAACUUGAUAGAUGUCUUCAUAAUGCCACAAUCGACUGCGUUUUCCUGGAUCUUUAAUUGACUCUUGCGUCACAAUUUCCCUACCCAUUUCUUGUAGCAAAUCAUGCAUUGUUAUCUUGUUUUUUGAUAUAGUCACAAGGGACUUAUCAACAAGAUCACGUAUUCCUAUCUUUGCUGAAAAGCCACAGGCAUCUAGGAAAUUCAUAACAAGAUCUCGAUCAUUUCCCUUGAAGAAACAUGCAAUAUCUAGAAAGAUAUUUUGCUCUUCAUCAUCAAGGCCAUCAUAACUCACUUUUAACACUUUUUGGAUAUCCAUUUGAGGAAUUUUUUUCAGCUUGUUCACUGCACUUUCCCACUCUUCUUCACUCCUUCCAAAUAGAUAGCGCCCCAAAACCUUAAGAGCUAAUGGAACACCGUUCGCAUAUUUUAUCACCAUAUCUGACAACGCCAAAUAACCUGCUGCAUGAUGGUUUAGCCCAAAGGCAUUUCGACUGAAAAGCGUAAGAGAAUCAUUGUAUGAUAAUUCCUUAACCUCAAAUACAUGACCCACUCGACUCCCAGGAAGGUUCUUGAGCAAUUGUGCAUCUCUCGUUGUUAUGAUAAUUCGACUACCAGGCAUGAAGCAAUCGAGUCUAUCAAGACCUCCAAUUAAUAAUUCUAUUUGUUGUAUACAAGUCACAUCAUCAAAAACAAUCAGAACCUUCAUUCGGCUGAGCCUUCUUCUUUCAAAGUUGAGGCCGAUAUUGGGUAUGUCAAUCUUCAUAUUUCCAUCAUCUAGUAAUGUAGAAAGAAGUUCUCGUCGGAAACCAGCCAAUCCGAUAGCUUCUGACUUUUCUCUAAUAUUUUGCAUAAAAUAAGAACAUUCAAAAUGACUAUAGAUGUUACUGUAAAUAGCACUGGCAAUUGUGGUCUUGCCUAUACCACCAAUGCCCCAAAUGCCUACAGUGUUAAAUUCAGUUGACCCAGUCAAUAAGAGUGAUUCAAUUUCCUUGAUGAUUGAUUCCACUCCCACCAGCUGGUCUUUGUUAUCACUUGGAAAUAAAUCAUUCAGUUUCUUUAAAAUGUCAUUCACAAUUCCCUCUAUAAGUACAUAUUCGGACCUAACAAGUAAGAAAAAUAGCAGUAAGAUUGAAUGUAGAUAAAAAAUUCUUCAAUAAAGAUGAACAUUGUGUUUAUAAUUUCAAUUGGUAACAAUGCCGAGGUUUCACGCUGAAACUGGAUCAAAGAAAAGAAAAAAAAUAGAAAUUAAUUUUACAAGAUAGUGACCAUCGCCUAAUGUUAAAAAUAUAAUUUUAUUAUGUAUAAUAGUUUAUAAACUUUUUGAUCUGUUUUAUCUUUCACUAUUUAUUUUAAAUAAUAUCCCAAAAUAUAAGCAUAUUAUGUUUGGCCUCUUACCGUGGAAGUUAGUAAGGAUGUCAAAAAUACCCAUCCGACUUGAACAUCACUUGAUAAGUUCGUGGUCCGGUCCGGAGCCCAAAUUUUAUAAAAAAAAAAUUAUAAAAUAUAUAUUAUUUUAAAUAAUUAUAUUUAUUUGGCUCAACUAUUACAUAUAUUUAAAAUUUUAAAUAUUUAAAUUUCAUAUUUUCAUUCCCAAUUUCAUUAAAAUAAAAUUAAAAAUUAAAAAAUAUACAUAUAUAAUAUUACAAAAUAUAAAAUCUAGGUUUUUUAAAGUCAUAAAAAAGCCCUGGCCUGGUAUCCAAAAAACAUGUCCACACCAGAUCCGAGCAUUGCCAUACUCGAUGAGCCCCCAAGUUUUUGCCAUCCCUAGAAGUAAGAGGUUAAGAGUUUCCUUCGUCUCUUUUAGGAAUAACUUAGAUGUCAUGAAACAUUAGACAUAUUAUUAGAAGAGAUUCAAGCUACUUACAUCAAACAUUAAGUAUUAAUUAAUGUUAGGUAUUCCAAUAGUUGAGCCAUAGUUUGAAUCAAAAUGAUGUAAUAUUUACUAUCUAGUAGAUGAAUGACACAUAACGGUUGGACUCAAGUUAAGACUCAGCUGUUGUGAUCCGAAACUUUAUUGUCAAUUAUUUUAAUGAAGUGUAUUGGUGCUUUCAAAAUCUUAAUAUGUACAAUUCCUUCCCUAUUGUGAUUAUAUACACGAGAUGGUAGAAAAUUCUGCGAAAAGAGUUACCUAAUGCCAUGAGAAUCAAAGCCGGAUAAAUUGGCUCCCUCCCUCAUAGCAAUCCUCCAUGUUUGCAGCAUAUCUAUCUUCUCCUUAAACCGUUCUUCAAGCUUCGAAAAUGAAUCCCCAAAAGUUCCAGUUUGGUUUCUUACAUCUGAUGGAUCAACGAGGUAGAAAACUGGGACUACAAUCUGUCCAUACUUGUUCUUGCUUUCGAGGAUCUUCACAAGUUCAUUCAAGCACAAUCUGGAAGAAGCAUACCCUUUCGAGAAAAUGACAAUCGAAAUCUUUGAUCCUUCAAUUGCACUCGAAAGUGAAGGAGAAAUUUCAUUUCCUCUAUUAAGUUUGUCAUCGAUGAAAGUUUCAAUCUUUUUCCGGCACAAAGCUGCAUUGAGAUGGCUGAUAAAGUUGUGGCGAACAUCCUUGCCUCUGAAACUAAGGAAAACAUCAUACUUUAUAUGAGGAAUCAUAUUGAUCGAUGAUGAAGAAGAAGCCAUCUGUCAUUCCUGGUGAUGAGAUUCUUGAUCAGAAAAUUUAGAAUGCAGAAAACAUUAAAUUAGAAGACUGCAUCAGAUAAAGCAUUUGGAGCGUAUAGAAAAAAAAUAAACGCUGUCUUUUGUUGAUUUUUGUAACGACCUGCCUCACUAGCAAGAUUUAAUGCUGACCUCAAAAGUCAAACGAACGCUUCCGGUUGCCUACACUUCUACCCCACUGGGCAAAUUCCAUUGGUUGGGAGUGAAUUAUUGUGUUAUAUUACUUUGGACUAAAAUUGUGGAUCAUUGCUGUGAGAUGGCGAGUGUCAUCAUUUCAUGACUAUGAUUGAUCAUCCCAAAGCUAAACUGGUAGUGUAACUUUGUUGAAAAUUUGAAAUAAUACAUUUAAUUCAAUCUUUCUCUCACUUUCAGAACAUAAAUUAUUCUGACACUAGUGAUUUUGAAGGUGCAAUGAAUAGGGCAAUCCACGAAACAUGCUUGUAUACACUAGCCGCUGACUUUCUCCGUAAUGUCUGGUUAUAAGCAUCUGAGAGAGCUCUGUAGAAUAUAAUGUUUAAAUGCACUUUACCAUGAUUAAAUUUGUAACUUUGGUCCACUAGUAACAUUAAGGUUUCUUGUCAGUUUCUUCCAUAACCAAAGUGCCACCAAGUACAUCUGUUGCAUUUUGUAUGUGCUUUUUUGAAAUGUAUAAUUAGUUUAACAACGGAAUUCUGCUUUUCAGCAAGAAGUGCAGAAAGGAACCGAAAAAGUUCAAGAAAUGCGAAAAAGUAGCUGUGCAUUUCCACUUAUUCUCUUAGGAUCUGUCAUUUCAGUUUUAUGUGAGGAUUUUUAAUAAAAGCUUCAUGGAAAGGAGUGAAGUAUCUUUGCUUGAUAUCUAUGGUGAGGAGACAUAAAAAAGGCACAAAGUUAAAGAUUGCAGAACAAAUUAUUCUCAAUCGGGGAAAGGAAUUACUUAUUAACGCCAUUGCUCAAGCAAUUCCUACAUAUGCUUCGAGCAUCUUUAAGAUUCCUUGGGGACUAUGAGAAAAUAUGCAAAAGUUGCUAUCGGCAUUCUGAUGGGGUGAGAAGGAAACGGGCAAAGCAAUUAGGUGGGCUUUGUAGAAAAAGAAUGGAGGCCAAUGAUCUUGAGAUCUUGUCUGCUUCAACCAAGUUUUUCAUGCAAAACAUUGAUAAGAGUAUCCUAAUUCCAUAGUGUGAUAAAAGCCAGAUAUUUCAAGACUGUAUGGAAGUUAGAUAUAAAUGAUUGUUUUGAUGUGGGUUGUGUUGAACCAAGCUACAUUUAAUAAUGGAACAUUGACAAGGGCAUAUUCUUUUUAGGAUUCCUUCUGAACAGUAAACCUAGAACAUCUUUCUAGAAAACUUAGGUCUGAAAGAAGACAUGACCUCUACUUAGGGCUGGUUGAACAGUUGAAGCUCACUGUUGAUGAAGCCAUAAUAUAUCCAACAAGCGUGCUGGUCUUGUAUACGCAAGAUUUUUGAAGCUAAAUGGAAGAUUGCAAUGGAUUGCCACACAAAAUGUUGAGGUACAUACUGAAUCUGGAGAAAAAUGCAUUGCAAUAAUACAAAAAAAUAACUCAGCAGCCUCAUCAUCUUUAUCCUUUAGCUUUGUACAACCUGUUAAGCUUGAUCAAACAAAUUAUCUUGUGUGGAAAACACAAGUUCUUGCUUCCAUCAUCAGGAAUGGUCUAGAAGGUUUAAUUAAUGGAGGUAAUCCCUGUCCUGCACAGUUUUUAUCAGAAUCUAUGGCGGAAUCCAGUAGAUCAAGUGUUAUAGUUGUAAGGCAAAUUAAAAAUCCAGAAUAUAUUCAGUGGAAGAAAACUAAUAAGCUACUUCAGAGCUGGUUGUUCUCUUCAAUGAUGGACAAUAUGCUGAUAAUGGUGAUAAGUUGUGAGACUUCUCAGGAUCUUCAGGAACGACUUGCCGAAAUUUUCAUGUCUCAAUCAAAGGCUUGGUUUAUGGCUCUAAUGAUGUAGAUCCAGACUAGUAAAAACGAAUCACUCUCCAUCAGUGAUUACUUCAACAAGACAAAGAAAAUUUCGGAUACCUUAGCUAUUGGAGGUAAUACACUCUCAUCAAAUGAGUUCAUUAUGCAUAUUCUUGCUGGUCUGGAUGACUCCUAUGAAUCACUUGUUACAAAUGUCUUAACUAGACUUGGGAAGGAAAAUAUCACAGUUGAAGAAUUGUUUUCAAUGCUGCUUAGCCACGAAAUAAGACUUGAAAUGAGUAAAGGAAAAACACAGUUUGAUGUGAUGCAUGAUAUGAGUGCAAAUAUUGCACAAAAACGACAGCAUUAUAAUAAGCCUAACAAUAAUAUGCUUGACAAUAGAGGAUCUAGAAACUCUUUUGGUGGAGAUAAGAAUGUAAUUUGUCAAAUCUGCUUCAUACCUGGACAUAAUGCAUAUAAAUACAUAAACAGGUUCAAUCAUGCAUUCAUUCCUUGACAAGGAAGGGGUAAUCCAGGUUGUUUUAGGCCUAGAGGUGGCCAAUUCUUUGGAGGAAAUUAUGGAAGAGGCUUUAGAAGAGGUUUCAAUGGUGGCUUUCCUAGAUCAGCACCUUAUCAAGGUUAUGUUACUUAUUAAUCACCUUAUAACUAUCAACAGCCUCCAAUGCAACCAAGCUUUAUAUAUCUUGCUGCUAAUAUGUAUGCAGGAAAUGCAAGUUUGAAUUCUGAACAAGCUUUUAUUGAUUCUACUCAAGGUACUGCCGCUGCUUCACAUGUCAAUCCUAAUGCUUUCAUUGCAAUCAGUCAAGGUGCUGCUGCUGCUCCUCUGGCGAAUUACAAUGUUGUUGCAGAUUCAGCUUGGUAUAUUGACUCAGGGGCUACAAACCAUGUUACUCAAGAUGCAGAUAUAUUCUUAUCCUGUUCUAGAUAUACUGGUAUUGAGAAAUUAUAUAUUGGAAAUGGUUUAGGCUUGCAUAUUCAAUUUUUUGGGACAACUAAUAUAAAAUCUCUUAAUUCUCCAAACAUUCACCUCACCAAUGUGUUACAUGAACCAACUAUCACUAAAAAUUUACUUAGUGUUUCCAAAUUGUUAACUGAUAAUAAUGCCAUUGUUGAGUUUCAAAAAUAUUUUUGUUUUGUUAAGGACAAGAGCACAGGAUCAUAUUGCUUAAGGGGAUUGCUAGAGAUGGACUUUAUCAAAUUGAAGGACUCACCAUAGUCUCUGCUUCUGAUAAACCUUAUGUUUUGUUGUCUUCUAAGUCAAUGUCUGUAAUCAACUCCAAAACUGGUCUUAUGUCAAUGUUUUCUCAGUUCAAUAAAUCUAAUACUACGCAUCUCUUUGAAGUAAAAACCUUUCAAUUUUGCUGGCCUUGAACAAACCAUACCUUGGAUCUUUUAUCACAAGGCUAUUGGUGUUUCUAAUUUUUUUCCUUUUUGUGGAGGGGAAGGCUGCCUCUCCUGCUAUAUCCAAAGUUUUUGAGUCAAUUCCGGUGAGAUCUGCUUCCUCAUUUGCCUGUAAUAAUUAGGACUUUUCAUUGUUAUUUUGUUGCAAAGCUGGAAUCAUUAUUCAGUUUCUUUUGUUUAUGGCCUUAUGAAACUUUGGUCUGUUUUAAGAAAGUCUUGCGAGUAGGCUGAAAAAUGAAGCUUUUGUCUUUGGAAAAAGAAAGGACGAGCAAAUAAGUAUCCAAUAUGGUGAGAGCACAAGCUUGAAAAUAAAUACCCGUGGAUUGACAUCGUGCAACAGGACGUAGACAAACCUCCACCGACCACCAUCAUUAACAUUUAAUUGGGAUCACUUCCCUUUUAUCUUUUCGAUAUUGUAUGGCUAUAGUUUGCCUUUGGUUUCCUCUUAUGAUGAGAUUGUUAUACAAAAUUUCCUUUUCAGAUUUUAUGCACUGUGUGCCUGAUGAAUUGUGUUUUAUUUUGUUUUGUUUAUAUUAUUUGGGGUAGUCGCAUCUGGAAUGAGACCUGAUUGUCGAGCUUCUUCUAUAAACCAUGUAAUUACGAGUUAUUUGUGAUGCAAUCCCCGAAUAUGGAAAUGGCUAUUGUCAUGGCAAGGGUAUGGGUUUUACAUUUACAUCUACAGCAUGUAACUCUUUGUAUAUGUCAUAUUCAUACGUUUUGAUGAUAACACCUUCUUCUUAUAAACUUUUAGGAUGCAGGCAUGGAUUGGAUUAUUCAUCUUGAUACGGACUAGCUAAUACAUCCUGCGGGAGCUCGUGAGUACUCCCUGAGACAGCUGCUGUCAGUUGUACCUAGCAAUGUGGAUAUGGUAGCCUUCCCUAAUUAUGUGAGUGGAUCAAUACUUAUUAUGCAGAUGAAAAAUUCCAUUAGUAUAUGUUUUGGUGCAAAAAGAAUUUGACACUCUUUGUUUUGAUGGUCCCUUUAUUUUUUCGCGUUGACAUGAAUGAUAAUGGUGCAAUACAAUUUGUUUAAGGAGAGUUGUAUUGAGCGAGACGAUAUCAAGGAACCUUUCAGCGAGGUAGGAUCCUCUCUUUUGGUUGCUUCCCAUGCUUCUGGUUGGGUAAACAGAUAAAUCAAUAUAAUAUCAAAGUUAGUCAUUCUAGGCUCGUUUAUUAAAGGCUUCACAAGUUUUUUCUAAUAUGAUUAUCAUCUGCAAGUUUUCUUGACAAUCUUGGAUGUUUGCAUCUUAACACGAGGACAAAACAUUCGUAAUUGUUGAUCUAACACGUUGUCACAGGUGUCAAUGUUUAAGAAGAACUAUGACCAUCUUCCUAAAGAUGUUUACUUUGGAAACUAUAGGGAAGCAACCAGCAAUAAUCCAAACUACUUUCUAACAUAUGGAAAUGGUCAAGCAUUUCAGAGAGGAAGUGAAGCUCUGAAUGACCAAUUCACCUGAAUGAAUAGACAUUUUAUAUAACUUAUUAAAUAUUGAAUAGAUCUCCUAAUUGGGAAAAAAAAGUGACAACAUUUACUUGAAUAUACUUUGUGCAAAGAAUUUGGGAGAGAUUCACUAGUUUAUACUAGGAUGAUGUACGUCUGUGUUAGUUACACCUUAUUUGUUACAAGCUUCUGGUAGACCGCUUAUAUGGAUUACUUUUUACUAAUAUAUUGAAGACAAUACUUUAGAUGAAGCUGUAAUCAAAAUAUAGAAAUUGAUUGUGGAUCAAAUAUCCUGGGGGAGAAGAAGAAAGAGAUAACAGAGUUGAGAGCAGUGGUAACAAAUAAGAAUAUGGAUUAUCCAUCAGGGUAAUUUUGGCAGUAUAGCCAGGACAGGCUGGCCAGGUGUUGCACCCAUAGCCUGACCUUGCCCCAUCCCCUAUUUGUGGUUUUACUUUUUAUCCUCAAAUUUCCUUGAUCCCUAAAAUGUUAAGAAAAGCGUUACCCUGCCAUGAUGGGUUUAUCGCAGUUCCCAUUAGAAUUGGGAACCAAUACUGUUCCCAUCCCUUUAUAUACUUUGUGUGUCUUAACAAUUUUAGCAUGGUCAUUAUGAAAAUCUCUUUAUUGAAGUACUGGUUAGUGGUCACGGUAGUUCAGCUUAUAUCUAUUUUCAGUUGAAAGUUUUGGUAAGGAUCAGAAUAUUUCCAUUUUCUCAUUUGUUGACACAGGCUUAAUACUACCGUGUAAUCUUUGAUAGUGAAAUCAAAAUGGAUGACGCUGCUGUCCUGCAUUACACAUACACCAAAUUUUCUGAUCUGACUUCAAGACGUGAUCGGUGUGGCUGCAAGCCUACAAAGGAAGAUGUUAGAAGAUGCUUUAUGCUGGAAUUUGACCGAGCCGUGAGUUUUUUUCCUUUGCACUCUUUGUUCUUUACAAUGCAGCAUCUAUGUUACUUCAUUCUGAUUCAGCAUCAUUGCUCCUAUUAUUUUAAUUUCAUGUGUCUUUUUAAUUUUUUCACCACUAAAUGUACAUAUGUUUUCUACUUUGUUAAGUUAGCUUCAAAGUAAAGUUUUUGUCGUGUAGAAUUUGUUCCAGAUAAACGGCAACUACAGUCAAUUCCUUCUAAGAGCAAAGUUGUAUACACAAAAAGAGGCAAAAUAAAUUCCUCACAAAAUAAUCUAUAAAAUUUCUCAAGGAUAAUUGAAAAGAAUUCUGUUGAUGCCGAAAUCCGGAUAAGUUGGUCAGAUCUCAGAUCUCUGCAUCAUCAUUAAAUUUGUUUGGUGGGAAGCUGAUGAUUAGUUAGCACCAUGAGCAGAUUUUCUAUGAGCAGAUGUUCUGUGAGCAGACAACCCAUGAGCAGACAAUCCAUGAGCAGACGAUCCAUGAGCAGAGAACUCAUGAGCAGACGAUCUAUGAGCAGAUAACCCGUGAGCAGACGAUCCAUGAGCAGAUGACCUAUGAGCAGACAAUCCAUGAGCAGACAACCAAUGAGUAGACGAUCCAUGAGCAGAUAACCUGUGAGCCUGUGAACACAACCAACAGUCAAGAGGUGCCGGAAGUUUUUCCGGCGAGAACCCUCCGACGCUCAAGUCAGCGAUUCGGGUCUUACUUGGAAAAACUCAUACCACAAUUCAUGUGGCUUAAUUAUGAUUGCUUUAAACAAAAAGCUUUUAAGUAAAUUUAAAGGAAAAGAAUCCAAAAUAAUCAAUCUUAAAGAAAUCACAGGCGAAAGAGAAAUUUCUCUGUGGUAGAGAGAGAAAAAGGUCCCAUGGGUUCAGUUGCUUAAAGAGAGAGAGAGAGAGAAAAAAAAAAAGAGCCCUUCAAGAAUCCCCUUCCUCGAGUUUUUAUAGGAAACUAUAGCGGUUUUUAUCUCCACUCUCUUAUAAUUCUCAAGAAAACUACUAAUUUUCAGCCCACUAACAAUAUGAUCCCUAAUAUUUCAGAGAAAAUGUUUUGACUGAAUCGUGCUUCCUGGUAACUUCCUGGUCGAGGUGAUGUGCUCGAGGUCACCACAUAUUAUUCUGGUCGAGGUGACCAAUAAUAUCCUGGUCGAGGUGAUCUGCUCGAGGUGACCAAUAACAUCCUGGUCGAGGUGCUGUGCUCGAGGUCACCACAUAUUAUUCUGGUCGAGAUGAUCUGCUCAACCAUUUGCUCACUUUUACCUUGAGGAGAGCACGAUAAUGUAUAACCAAACACAUUUAUCUUGGUCACCCUAUUUCAUUCCCUAAACACUAGUCCCCCAGUUUCUAGUGUUGAGAGUGAAACGAAUCAAGACUGGAAACUUUAGUGGUCUGCUCGUCUUCGCUUGGUUGAGCAGAUCCUGGUAUGCUUGGCUUUCUGUCUCGCCAUAAAACAUGCUUUGAGACUUUGGAGCCUUUGCACGCCCUAGAAACUUUUUGAAAGUUUGGUGGUCUGCUCGCCUUCGCUUGGUUGAGCAGAUCCUGGUAUGCUUGGCUUUCUGUCUCGCCAUAAAACAGGCUUUGAGACUUUGGAGCCUUUGCACGCCCUAUAAACUUUUUGAAAGUUUGGUGGUCUGCUCGCCUUCGCUUGGUCGAGCAGAUCCUGGCACGCUUGGCUUCUGGUCUCGCCAUAAACAGGCUUUGAGACUUUGGUGAGCCUUUGCAUGCCUUAGGAAUUUUUACAACGUUUGGGAGUCUGCUCGCCUUCGCUUGGUCGAGCAGAUCCUAGCACGCUUGGCUUCUGGUCUCGCCAUAAACAGGCUUUGAGACUUUGGUGAGCCUUUGCAUGCCUUAGUAAAUUCUUCAAUGCUUGGGAUUCUGCUCGCCUUCUCGUGGUCGAGCAGAUCCUGGCACGCUUGGCUUCUGGUCUCGCCAUAAACAGGCUUUGAGACUUGGUGAGCCUUUGCAUGCCUUAGUAAAUUCUUCAAUGCUUGGGAUUCUGCUCUCCUUCUCAUGGUCGAGCAGAUCCUGGCGCGCUUGGCUUCUGGUCUCGCCAUAAGACAGGCUUUGAGACUUGGUGAGCCUUUGCAUGCCUUAGUAAAUUCUUCAAUGCUUGGGAUUCUGCUCGCCUUCUCGUGGUCGAGCAGAUCCUGGCACGCUUGGCUUCUGGUCUCGCCAUAAGACAGGCUUUGAGACUUGGUGAGCCUUUGCAUGCCUUAGUAAAUUCUUCAAUGCUUGGGAUCCUGCUCGCCUUCUCGUGGUCGAGCAGAUCCUGGCACGCUUGGCUUCUGGUCUCGCCAUAAGACAGGCUUUGAGACUUGGUGAGUCUUUGCAUGCCUUAGUAAAUUCUUCAAUGCUUGGGAUCCUGCUCGCCUUCUCGUGGUCGAGCAGAUUCUGGCACGCUUGGCUUCUGGUCUCGCCAUAAGACAGGCUUUGAGACUUGGUGAGCCUUUGCAUGCCUUAGUAAAUUCUUCAAUGCUUGGGAUUCUGCUCGCCUUCUCCUGGUCGAGCAGAUCCUGGCACGUUUGGCUUCUGGUCUCGCCAUAAGACAGGCUUUGAGACUUGGUGAGCCUUUGCAUGCCUUAGUAAACUUUGAUUGGUUUCUUAACGCUAGCCUAGCUCUCUUUUCUUAAAUCAUUCUCAUAUUGAGUAACUUUCAAGAAAUCAAGUUAACUAAGUUAUACCGUCAGCCCUAAUAUGAGCACAAUCAAUUUAAUGAAUAUAAGGUAUCCUCAUCUCACGUAGCAGGAUUUAGAGAAAUAAUUAAAUUUUCAUGAAAAAAUUGCUUGUAAAUAAAAAUUUAACUUCUGACCUGUUCUGAUUUCUACAAACGUGUGCCUUCAAUGUGCUCUCAUUUAAGGUUUUUGGUACCUUGUUUAAGCAAGCUCAUCCAUUUAUGCACUGUAAUAUUCUGAUUUGCUUCGACUAGAUGAAAAUUGAUAAAGACAAAAAUUUGGCUUUUCGUACGAGUCCCCACAGACGGCGCCAAAUGUUGAUGCCGAAAUCCGGAUAAGUUGGUCAGAUCUCAGAUCUCUGCAUCAUCAUUAAAUUUGUUUGGUGGGAAGCUGAUGAUUAGUUAGCACCAUGAGCAGAUUUUCUAUGAGCAGAUGUUCUGUGAGCAGACAACCCAUGAGCAGACAAUCCAUGAGCAGACGAUCCAUGAGCCGAGAACUCAUGAGCAGACGAUCUAUGAGCGGAUAACCCGUGAGCAGACGAUCCAUGAGCAGAUGACCCAUGAGCAGACAAUCCAUGAGCAGACAACCCAUGAGCAGACGAUCCAUGAGCAGAUAACCUGUGAGCCUGUGAACACAACCAACAGUCAAGAGGUGCCGGAAGUUUUUCCGGCGAGAACCCUCCGACGCUCAAGUCAGCGAUUCGGGUCUUACUUGGAAAAACUCAUACCACAAUUCAUGUGGCUUAAUUAUGAUUGCUUUAAACAAAAAGCUUUUAAGUAAAUUUAAAGGAAAAGAAUCCAAAAUAAUCAAUCUUAAAGAAAUCACAGGCGAAAAAGAAAUUUCUCUGUGGUAGAGAGAGAAAAAGGUCCCAUGGGUUCAGUUGCUUAAAGAGAGAGAGAGAGAGAAAAAAAAAAGAGCCCCUCAAGAAUCCCCUUCCUCGAGUUUUUAUAGGAAACUAUAGCGGUUUUUAUCUCCACUCUCUUAUAAUUCUCAAGAAAACUACUAAUUUUCAGCCCACUAACAAUAUGAUCCCUAAUAUUUCGGAGAAAAUGUUUUGACUGAAUCGUGCUUCCUGGUAACUUCCUGGUCGAGGUGAUGUGCUCGAGGUCACCACAUAUUAUUCUGGUCGAGGUGACCAAUAAUAUCCUGGUCGAGGUGAUCUGCUCGAGAUGACCAAUAACAUCCUGGGCGAUGUGAUGUGCUCGAGGUCACCACAUAUUAUUCUGGUCGAGGUGACCAAUAAUAUCCUGGUCGAGGUGAUCUGCUCGAGGUGACCAAUAACAUCCUGGUCGAGGUGCUGUGCUCGAGGUCACCACAUAUUAUUCUGGUCGAGAUGAUCUGCUCAACCAUUUGCUCACUUUUACCUUGAGGAGAGCACGAUAAUGUAUAACCAAACACAUUUAUCUUGGUCACCCUAUUUCAUUCCCUAAACAAAUUCUUUUAAUUAAUAUAUGUAACUUCCCUAUGGCACAUCUUGCUGCUGGAAGAUAUUCACAAUCAUUGACUGUUUUUCAAAUUUUUUUUUUCUUUUUUUGAGGCUAACGGUGAAACAGUUUUAACAAUAGCUCUUUCAUAUUAUGUUCUGUGCAGGCAUUUAUAAUUGCCUCAACUGCAACAGAGGAUGAGAUGCUGAGCUGGUAAAAUAAUGUUAAAACUUAUAUAGUAUCCUAUUGAGGAAUUAACACAAUUUCUCACUUUAGAAGUUCCAAUUUUUUUUUUUUUUUGGGAACCUCUUGAGCUUUUAUGGGUUUCGUAUGUUAUAAGCUUCUGGAUAUCUCAGGAUAUAAACAGCUUUAUUCAUUGCGUUUUCCCCAGAAUUUGUUUCUCAUUUCAUAAUAUUGGUACCAGUUGAUGCGAAUUUAUUGCUUUCUCAAGACUACUGUUGAUACAGGUACCGUAAACAUGUUGUGUGGGCUGACAAAACACUGAAAAAGAAACUCAUGAUAAAUUUGAGUUGUGGCUAUUAAUUAGAUUAAACAUCAAGUUAUGCUAUGAAAUAUUGUCGCUGAUGCUAUUAAUUUUGAGUUGUGCAGUUGACGGAUGUUGUGUUGCACGUAUGCACCCAGUGUCUUAAAACUGUUUGAUAUUAUUUUCCUUCAUAGAUCAUUAAUCAAGGACUACGGGAAUCUGGGAUUUACGCCUCUGUAAUAGCAUCAGCGAAUACAAUGCUCUCAAAGGAGAAAAUUCUAUCAUCGGUUGAAAGUAGAAACAAUACUCGAGAAUCUAAAUCUGUAAAUUCUUCAAGAAAGAUUGGUGGUUUCGGUCAGUCACAGGCAACUGCAAGGAGGGUCUUGGAAUUUAUUGAUGAUGCAAAUUACACGUUAGCAAUCCCACCAGAAUCUCCCCCUGGCCCAGAUGAUCUUAACAUUGACACAUAAUCAUAUUACAUUAGCAGUGGUGAUUGUAUCCUGCUGCUUCCUUUUUGAACUGGGAUCUAAGAUUUUGUUACUAGGUGAAAGAGAAAACUCAAGGGCGUGAUAGAUAGGUCUACCUAUGGUUACGAGUUAUGGAGCUCUUACCGAUCAUUACCCAAGCGUUAGUGUACAUUUCAGAUUCAGAUUUUAGGUUCUAUAGAGUGAGAGAUGUAGAGCGGUAUUAUGACUGCUGGAGCUUUUUUUUUUUUAUAAUCUCAUAGUUGCAUAUUUUAGAAAUGAUUUGGCUUAUAACCUGGAUUUGUAAUUUGAACCACUGUGAUUGCAUUUUGUUAUACACAAUUACACAUUGAAAGGGGCAAUAUCAUAUUACUCAUCUCUUAUUGAAAAUAAAAAAUGAGAGGUUCGGCAUCAUCUACAAGUGUUUUCAUAGACCGGUGUCAGAUUAAUUUACCGAAUGUUGUUGUUUGCUCUUGAUAACUGCUUUUCUUGAACCAAAAGUGCUUCUUGUUCAGCCCUUAAAAGUUUCAUUAUCACUCACUUAUUUCAGCUUCUUAUGCUGCUUACCUGAAUUGGCUUUCUGCAUAGUGGACUGCUUUAUCUGAAUAGUCCUCUAAUAUCGAUGAAUUAACCGUAAAUUCAUGCAUAAUCCACAUGCCGUCUUCUUGAGGGUUGUUAAUAUUUUUGUUCUUGAAUCCUGUUGUAUUAUCAUCAGACUCGCAACCCAAUGCCCUGGCUCCAUCCACAGUUUGGGAAGCCCACAGCCCUGAUCUUCUUGAACCAUUAGCCGAUUUGGCCCAAAAAAAAAAUAAAAAUACAGAGCUUUAGUUUGCCCGUUCGGAGAUGUUGAGCUAUCGUUUGUACAAUUUCGGAGACUCUCGAUGCUUUGUUCUUGCCUGGCUUGCUAGUCAGACCCCUUUAUCUUCUAGAAACCGUGUUCUCCGAAUAGUUCAUCUGCCGUGGUUCUUUUUGCCCACAAACACCAUACUCUUUCGAAGGACUAUCAUCAAGAGCUGGGUUUUUUUUGUAAUCUUGUCCUACAGGAAGCUGCAAACCAGUUCUUGUUCGAUUGGAUGAAAUCUGUAAUCAACCUCAGGCAUCGUAAAGAACUUUUUUCCCGUAAAGAAAAACGGUUGAGGAAUCUUGGGCGUACAUUAAAUUUUGAUGACUAAAUAGAUUGAAGAAUGAAGAACAAGAGAGAUGUAUAUUACUUGCAAGUCAAGCUAAUUUGUUGUUAUUUAUAGCUGUUGAACAUAUUUUGGUUUAGGAAGGUGUUUUAUUUGCUUGCACAGCAAGUAUACAAAUGAAUUGCCGUUAAAUUUAGGUUAUAUUUGACGCCAAUGUAUGGUUUUAUAGCCGUUGCGGUUGAAACUGAAGUUCUAAUUUAGCGGCCAUGUGAAUUCUAUCAAGUCCUAAUUUUGUAUUGCCCGAAAUUUUGUGCAAACGUCCAUGUCUAAACAUGAUUUAGUGUUUCAGUAUUAUUUUUUGUGUGAACUUAAGAGUUUUUCCCCAAUUUAGAACUAUGCCUCUUAUUUGAAGCAGUGUUUCAAGUUAGGUUUUAAAUACAUUAUAUCAAAAUAGAUCUUGGUAAACUUUUAAUAAGAAUAUCAGAAAAAUUGAUUUAAUUUUAAAAAACUACCAAAAAUGGAGCAUUAAUGUAUACGUGCUGUGAGCAUUAAUUUAAAAUUAAUUAUUUUUUAUUAAGACAGUAACUCAAAUCUUUUCCCCCAUUAACGUGAGUGAGUUUCAAAUUUUAGACUUUUUAUUUCUACACAAAUAAUUUUAUCAACUGAAAUAAUUGGCAUCCACUCAAUCCAAAAUUAAAUAUAUUGUUUUAAAUGAAUCCAUAUUGUAUGUUGACGUGUUAUUUAAAAAAAUACAUCUAGAGUAGACGUGUCAUUGGAGAAAAAUAAUUGAUUUAUUUGUUAUUUGUCAAACGAGUGCAUAUCAUAUGUUAACGUAUUAUUAGGCAAAAAUAUAUUUAAAGUAUACGUGUUGUUAGCUAGAAAAAAAUAAUUGGAUAUUUGUUUCCUAUUAUUAAUCAAAUGAGUCCAGUCCACGCGUCAAUAGAUUCAGAACUCUCAUAAACAGGCUGUUCGCUUUUCAUUUUUUAUAUUUUCUAAAGUGUGUUGUUAUUUAUUAAAUAUGCCUUGACAAUAAGAACCAAAUUUAUUUAAAAUACAGAUAAUUUAGUGAAAAAGAUGUAAAAUGUCUUCCCUCUUAUUGAGAGCUAGGUCCUAGGAUGAUGCAAAUACUGUAAACCCAAAAAACAAAAAAUUAUUUUAAAAAAAAAAAACCCAAACCAGGAAAAGUUUUGGGUACCCUACCUAGGAGCAUUGGUCAUUUUAAAUUGAUUAGCUUCACAGCCCAUGAACAUUUCAACCAAUUGCAGUAACAUUCAUACAUACGUAACAAAUAAUAAAUAAAAAAGAUUGAUUGUUACUAAAUUUAUAAUGGAAAAUUUAAUGAUGUGCCAACACAGUACACUUGUAGAAAACAACGUCUGGGAUGUGAAUACGUAAUUAUCUACCACAUAGUCAUUUAGGUUAGCCGUGAAGCUAAGGUCUAGCUCUAGUGACUUUCCUAAGGAUCAGGUACUGAUUCGAGAUUUAAUGGGUAUCUGAGUUAAUAUUAAAAAAAAUAUUCUUAUAAAAAAAAUGUUAGUCGUCCCGUGUGUUUUUUAUUUUUCUUUAUUUUGAAAGGUUUCUUUUGUUAAAUUAAUUCGUUGGGCAAAAUUUUUAUCAUCACUACAAUAUAGAUAUCAAAUUUUCGCUUAUUUAAAAUUUCUAAGUUAAGCAACUAGUAAAGAUUAGGAUUAAAUUAGAAAUUUUAUAUAAAUUGCAUAUAGAAAUAAUUGUGAUAUUUCUGAUAUUAAUCACGAGGUAUCCUGGGGAGGGUCCCAACUGUGGGAGGCACCUUUAAGCCCGUACCACAACCCAGACUAGAAGUCCCCGCUCGAACCGGGAGGCACAAGUUCUCCCAACAAAGGCGACUUCCCUGCGACUCGAACUGGGGAGUAAACCCAGUCAAGCCAUUUAAGGGGACUCCAUUGCCAGUGGAGCCAACACUUUGUUGGUAAAAGAAUAAUUAUAAAAAAUUAUAUUACUUUUAAAUCAAGAAGAAAUUUGAAUGAUUGACCAAUUAAAUUUUCAUUAAUUAGUUUUUGUAAUUUAGAUCUCUUGACCAUUUUUGUUACAGCGACAUCUGUGGUCAACAAUAGUCAAGAGAUUUUAUCAAAAAAUAAAAAGAAUCUAAUUAAUUAAUUAUUUUAAAAUUUUUCUCAUUUAAUUUUUUUUUUAAAAAUAAUGUGAUUUUAAAAAAAAAUAAUUUUAUAAGAUGGGGUGGUUACACAAAGUCUGUGAUUUGAAGGAAGAAAAAUAGUGGGAAAAAUAGUUGUGGGAAGAAUUUGGUUUUCUCUAUUUUUGUUACAAAUAGAGCAGCGAAUUUGACUUUGAUAUCAUUGAGCAUAUUUAUAGAUGUGGAGAUUACAAUUUUUCAAAAUUAAAUACACAAAUUAUAGAAGGAUAUCACCAACCGUUCCAUUGCCAUUUGGUGCGAAUCAUUUGAUAAUCUCAACAAUUUCAGUCUUUUGGGGAGCACCUGAUAAUCUUCCACCUCAGAUCUCAACCUUUUGCUGGGAUCUUGGGCGUAUAUUAAAUGGGCUCCACAUUUUUUCACAUCAACAACCUCUACGCAUUGGCCCAUGAUAUCCCGAACAGAGAAUUAGAUACAGACCUCGUUAUUGGAACCACCGAAACUAUAUAAUAUGAAGACCAAGAGAAAUCGUACCCCAAAAGUACGUGAUCUGACAGGAUAGAAGAAUCGUCUUUGAAAUCAUCCUCCCAUAGAUUAGAAGGGAAACAAAUUGUAACAUCCCCAUCACCGUCUUUGGUUUUGAGGUUGCAUUCAACAUAUAAUUCCAGAGUGUAGCCAUGAUACUCUGGAACAAUAGCGCAUAGAGCAAAGCCAACAAAGUUUUUGUUGAACCAACCUGGCGGCAGCUCAAGGGUUACGGAAGAUCCCAUACUUUGAAAGCUAAGCCACUCUGGAAUUUCAUGUCCAGGGAAACAGACACAACCACUCUUAUGAUGACGCUCCUGCACCACAAAAACCAUCAUUUUGUUUAAUAUUAAAUUUAACUUGGGGGAAAAAAGUGAUAAUAACUUAUAAACAUGCAUAUAUAUGCUCCUAUGUUGAGAGUUAACGGAUCUUGUUCUUUCCACCAUGUUGCCAUAACCUGAAUUUUCUUUAGAGCUUCUUCAACAAUUUCUCCGACCUCAUUCCAGUUCAAUUUGAACAAUUGCUAAAGUUAAAUAUGUCCCAAUGCUUUGACGAACGUGUGAGCAAUGUCGAUGAAUUUGAUAAUGUUUUCAGUGAUGUGCAGUGACGGGCAUGUAUGCUGCUACCGCAUGGAAGUUCUGGUAAGGAUUGAAGCCUCUUACAAUUUUGUAGUCUGAGGUCCGACAACUUAGAUAGCUGUUUCAUGCUUGAAGGUAUUUUCUCAAAAUCGUUUUCUGCUAGAUUCAAAUAUUCCAGAGAUUCUAAAUUUCCAAUUUCCUCCGGCAAUUUCUCAAGUUUUAAGCAACCAGAGAGAUUAAGCCUCCGAAGUGAUUUUAAAUUACAGAGGCGGCUCGAGACACUCUUAAGCCCUGAACAGUUUGUAAGGUCCAAAUCAACAAGUCUGGACAGAUUCCCAAUCGAUGAAGGCAGUUCUUCAAUUGCAGUUUCCUUUAGAUCUAAGUCUUCUAUAUUACAAGAGAUCUCAGGAAACCUCUUCAAAUUUGAGCACCCUCCAAGAUAUAGCUCUUUAAGGGAAUCCAAAUUAAUUCCAGUUGGAAGACUCUUCAGACUAGUGCAAAGACCUAGAUUAAGGAUAACAAGCUUGUUGAGAUGUUGAAUAGACGAGUGAAUCUCAAACAAGCUUGUACAGCCUUCUAAAUUCAACUGCUCAAGAUUUAAGGCGAGGGAGAGGUCUGGGAUUUCGAAUAGCUGCUUGGAAUAGCUGAGAUUUAGACGCUUCAACACAGCAAGGUUCUGAAAAGAAAAAAAAAAAAAAAAAAGCAACACUAGUAAUUAGUAUCCAUCACAUUUAAAUUUGGUAUUGAAAGAUUUUCAUAUAAAUAUUUAAGAUAUACCUGGACACCAUUCUAGAGCCGUUCAAUAUUGCUAUGAGGCAUCUCAAGUAAAACAAGAUGUUCUGGAAAAUUCUUUGAAGGCAAUGAUUUCAAAGGGUAUCCAUCCCAAUGAAAAUACCUUAAUUUGCUGAAAAGAGAUUCCACUCAUCUUGAAUGAAGCACCUUACAUUUGUUCUCUCCAGGAAUUAAGUUAUAGAAUUUCAAGAAUCUCAAUCUACGCAUCUUUCUGAAAGUCCUAGGAUUCAAACAUAUCUCUUUAAUUUUAGACAUAUCCAAGGAGAUGCCCUCAAUUUCCUCACUCCCCUAAAAAGAGAAAAGAAAAUAAUGUGUAAGGAAGUACUAGAAUCCUAGAAUAUAUCUAUACAGUUCAUUAAGUUUUUUUUGUUUCAUUUUUCCCACAUUUUUUGUUAAGUUCAAGUUUCAAGUUACAUUUCCCAAAUUUCUUCAACUCUUAAAAUAUGAUGCAUAAGUUGGGACAUUUAAAGAAAAGCUUAGGAGUUAGGACAUAAAAUGAAAUCUCGGAAACAUAAACAAAAAUUUUGCUGCGUUGUUCAAUUGUUAUGACACAACGGCUUUACUCUAGAAUAACAUGUACAUUAUAAAUUUGAGAUUGACUAAUUCAUGAAAAAUUUAAACUAAGUCAAGAAAAAUUUAUCCUAUUCUAUGUUUUGUUCAUACACAAUUUUGAAAUAUACUUAUCCUGGGCCCACGUAAUAAUUCUAUAAACUUAAGAAAAUUUAUCUCAUGAUUCCCAAAGGAUUAAUUUAUUGAGAUCAAUUUUAUAACUCAAGUAUAUUUACUAAUUUAUCAAUGUUUAUAUUAUAUCAAUAUGUAGUGUUUAUAAUAAUAUUUUAUAUUAUAAUUAAAAAAUAUAAAUAGCUAAUAAUUCAAAAAAAUAAAAUUAUUAAUUUGAAAUUAUUAUUAUUAAUUUAAGUAUUACUAUAAAUAUUACAAUUUAAUUUGAAAUAAAUAACUAAUAAUUUAAAAAUUAUUGAUAGAUUAUAAAAUAAAAUAUUCAACAAAUUUCACUAAUUUACGUUUUAUUUAUUUUUAUAAAUCGUAACAUUACCUAUAUAAUCUAUACAAUGUAACACAUCAAUCUACCACUAGUUUUAUGUAUUUUCCUUAUUUUGUACAAAAGAGUUUUCUAUAUAUCAUAAUAUGUUUGUGGGGGCAUUAAGAAAUAAAAUUAUCUAUCUAACAAAGUACUAAACUAAUUCUUCCAUAACCAAAAUAGAAAUGGAAAUUUAAUGCUUUGAACUCACAGUAUUUUCGUUCAAAACUUGAUAGAUGUCUUCAGGAUGCCACAAUCGACUGCGUUUUCCCGGAUCUUUAAUGGACUCUUGCCUCACAAUUUCCCCACCCAUUUCUUGUAGCAAAUCAUGCAUUGUUAUCUUGUUGUUUGAUAUAGUCACAAGGGACUUCCCAACAAGACGACUUAUUCCUAUCUUUGCUGAAAAGCGACAGGCAUCUAGGAAAUUCAUAACAAGAUAUUGAUCAUUUCCCUUGAAGAAACAUGCAGUAUCUAGAAAGAUAUUUUGCUCUUCAUCAUCAAGGCCAUCAUAACUCACUUUUAACACUUUUUGGAUAUCCAUGUGAGGCAUUCUUUUCAGCUUGUUCACUGCACUUUCCCACUCUUCUUCACUCAUUCCUUUUAGAUAGCUCCCCAAAACUUGAAGAGCUAAUGGAACACCGUUUGCAUAUUUUAUCACUAUAUUUGACAACUCCAAAAAACCUGCAGCAGGAUGGUUUUGCCCAAAGGCAUUUCGACUGAAAAGCGUAAGAGAAUCAUUGUAUGACAAUUCCUUAACCUCAAAUACAUGACCCACUCGACUCCCACGAUGGUUCUUGAGCAAUUGUACAUCUCUCGUUGUUAUGAUAACUCGACUCCCAGGCACGAAGCCAUCAAGACGUCCAAUUAAUAAAUCUAUUUGUUUUAAAUCAGUAAGAUCAUAAAAAACAAUCAGAACCUUCAUUCGGCUGAGCCUUCUUCUUUCAAAGUUGAGGUGGAUAUUGGCUAAUCCGCCUACUUUUUCUGACUCGUCUCUAAUAUUUUGCAUAAAAUAAGAACCUUCAAAAUGACUAGAGAUGUUACUGUAAAUAGCACUGGCAAUCGUGGUCUUGCCUAUACCACCAAUGCCCCAAAUACCUACAGUGUUAAAUUCAGUUGACCCACUCAAUAAUUGUGAUUCAAUUUCCUUGAUGAUUGAUUCUACUCCCACCAGCUGGUCUUUGUUAUCACUUGGAAAUAAAUCACUCAGUUUCUUUGAAAUGUCAUUCACAUUUCCCUCUAUAAGUACAGAUUCAGACCUAACAAGUAAGAAAAAUAGCAGUAAGAUUGAAUGUAGAUAAAAAAUUCAUCAAUAAAGAUGAACAUUGUGUUUAUAAUUCCAAUUGGUAACAAUUCCGAGGUUUCACACUGAAACUUGAUCAAAGAAAAGAAAACAAUAGAAAUUAAUUUUACAAGAUAGUGACCAUCGCCUAAUGUUAAAAAUAUAAUUUUAUUAUGUAUAAUAGUUUAUAAACUUUUUGAUCUGUUUUAUCAUUCACUAUUUAUUUAAAAUAGUAUCCCAAAAUAUAAGCAUAUUUUGUUUGGCCUCUUGUUAUGGAAGUACGUAGGGAUGUCAAAAAUACCCAUCCAGCCUAAACUCGGGCAAUACCCGGCCUGGGAAUGAGGCCAAACUGGUCCCGGGCAUUACUUGAUAAGCUCGUGGUUCGGUCCGGAGCCCAAAUUUUAUAAAAUAUAUAUUAUUUUAAAUAAUUAUAUUUAUUUGGCUCAACUACUACAUAUAUUUAAAAUUUUAAAUAUUUGAAUUUCAUAUUUUCAUUCCCAAUUUCACAAAAAAUAAAAAAUAAAAAAAUGUACAUAUAAAUAAUACAAAAUAUAAAAUCCAGGCUUUUAAGUCCAGAUAAAAAAGCCCCAGCCGAGUGUCCAAAAAACAUGUUUGCGCCAGAUCCGAGCAUUGCCAUACUCGAUCGGCCCCUAAGUUUUUCCAUUCCUAGAAGCAAGAGGUUAAGAGUUUCCUCCGUCUCUUUUAGGGAUAACUUGGAUCUCAUGAAACAUCAGACAUAUUAUUAGAAGAGAUUCCAGCUAUUUACAUCAAAUAUUAAGUAUUAAUUAACGUUAGGUAUUCCAAUAGUUGAGCCAUAGUUUAAAUCAAAAUAAUGUGAUAUUUACUAUCUAAUAGAUGAAUGACACAUAACGGUUGGACUCAAGUUAUGACUCAACUAUUGUGAUCCCAAACUUUAUUGUCAAUUGUGUAUUGGUGCUUUCAAAAUCUUACUAUGUACAAUUCCUUCCCCAUUGUGAUUAUUUACACGAGAUGGUAGAAAAUUAUGUGAAAAGAGUUAUCUAAUGCCAUGAGAAUCAAAGCCGGAUAGAUUGGCUGCAUCCCUCAUAGCAAUCCUCCAUGUUUACAGCAUAUCUAUCUUCUCCUUAAAUCGUUCUUCAAGCUUCGAAAAUGAAUCCCAAAAGUUCCUGUUUGGUUUCUUACAUCUGAUGGAUCAACGAGGUAGAAAACUGGGACUACAAUCUGCCCAUACUUGUUCUUGCUUUCGAGGAUCUUCACAAGUUCAUUCAAGCACCAUCUGGAAGAAGCAUACCCUUCCGAGAAAAUGACAAUCGAAAUCUUUGAUCCUUCAAUUGCACUCGAAAGUGAAGGAGAAAUUUCAUUUCCUCUAUUAAGUUUGUCAUCGAUGAAAGUUUCAAUCUUUUCCCGGCACAAAGCUGCAUUGAGAUGGCUGACAAAGUUGUGGCGAACAUCCUUGCCUCUGAAACUAAGGAAAACAUCGUGCUUUGGAUGAGGAAUCAUAUUGAUCGAUGAUGAAGAAGAAGCCAUCGGUCACUCCUGGUGAUGAGAAAUCUUGAUCAGGAAAUUUAGAAUGCGGAAAACAUUAAAUUAGAAGACUGCAUCAGAUAAAGCAUUAGGAGCGCAUAGAAAACUUUAUCUCAAUUCAACCUUCUACGAACUUUCACGGUAACUAGGAAACUUUAGCUCAAUUCAACACUUUCAUUCUAGGAACUUUCAUGGUAGCUUAACUCCCAUGCUAACUAGAAAACUUUAGCUCAAUUCAACCUUCUAGGAACUUUCAUCCUAGGAAAGAGACGAUGAAUUAGGAGAUUUUGGAUUUCAAGCACCAACCCCCUCCCCAUUCAAAAGGCCUUCCAUUAUAAGCUCAUUAAACACAUUUUUCCCAAAUAAUGUGGGAAAUCAUAAUUUUUGAAUUAAACUACAAGACUGCCUCUCUUUAAUCAUAAAUAGGGGAAAUGGUACGGGUUUAAUAAUUCUAGUCUGGGUUGUGGUACGGGCUUAAAGGUGCCUCCCACAGUUGGGACCCUCCCCAGGAUACCUCGUGAUUGAUAUAAAAAUAAAAAAUAAACAGGGGAAAUGGGAGGAUGAAUGUUGCACACGAUCAAUUUUGAUACAUUAAAAUUGUGAGUUUUAACACUUUAGAUAUAUUUUAUGAAGUCUUAAUUUUACUACUGAUUGAUUAAUUUGGAUAAUUGGAUAUUACUGACAGUUUACUAUUGAUUAAUGUUAGUUAAGUUAUGAUUAUACUUCAACUGUUCAAGAUUGAUUACAUUGGUGUACACAAAUUUAGAUUUACUUCUAGCUCAACAACUCUCAUUGUUAGUCAAAUACCCCCUUCCUAGCAAAUUCAUGUUUUUUUAGCACAAAUUUCAUAGGAUUCUUCGUAGGAUACUCCCAAGGACCAACGGAUGUCUCAAUCCAAACUCCAUAACAUUCGGUCAAUCACUAAUUUUUGUCCUUUGACAAAAUGAUUUAAUUUUGGUGUUUUAGAAUUAUUGUGUUAUACUACUUUUGACUAAAAUUGUGGAUCAUUGCUGUGAGAUGGCGAGUGUCAUCAUUUCAUGACUAUGAUUGCUUUGUUGAAAAUUUGAAAUAAUACAUUUGAUUCAAUCUUCCUCUUACUUUCAGAACAGAAUUUGAUCUUGAUCCUUAGCGGAUGUAGGCACCUCUCUGGAGUUGACCCGCUUAAUAAAUGGAAAAAAUAAAAUGGAGUGACAAGUGUCUUUGCUUGAAAUCUAUGGUGAAGAGACAUAAAAAAGGCACAAAGGAUUGCAGAACAAAUUAUUCUCAGUCGGGGAAAGGAAUUACUUAUUAACGCCAUUGCUCAAGUAAUUCCUACAUAUGCUUUGAGCAUCUUUAAGAUUCCUUGGGGACUAUGAAUACUUCAGACAAAGUCAAUUUUAUCUAACUUGAUUUAAAGUGAGUUAAUACAUAAAGAAAAAAGGGACAUUUUCAAGUUCAAGAAAUGCAAAUAAACUGUGCGAAUCCACUUAUUCCAUUAGGAGUUUUCAUUUCAGUUUUUUUACGUGAGAAUUUUCAAUAAAAGCUUCAUGGAAAGCAGUGACAAGUAUCUUUCCUUGACAUCUAUGGUGAGGAGACAUAACAAAGGCACAAAGUUAAAGGAUUGCAGAACAAAUUAUUCUCAGUUGGGGGAAGGGAAGUACUUAUUAACGCCAUUGCUCAAGCAAUUCCUACAUAUGCUAUGGGCAUCUUUAAGAUUCCUUGGGGACUAUGAGAAAAUAUGCAAAAGUUGCUAUGGGCAUUCCGAUGGGGUGAGAAGGAAACGGGCAAAGGAAUUAUGUGGGCUUUGUGGAAAAAGAAUCGAGGCCAAGGAUAUUGAGAUCUUGUCUACUUCAACCAAGUUUUGCAUGCAAAACAAUGAUAAGAGUAUCCUAAUUCUUUAGUGGCAAAGGUGAUGAAAUUUCAAGACUGUAUGGAAGACAGAUAUAAAUGAUUGUGUUAAUGUGGGUUGUGUUGAACCAAGCUAUAUUUAAUUAUCGAACGUUGACAAGGGCAUAUUCUUUUCAGGAUCCCUUCUGAACAGUAAACCAGGAGCAUAUUUCUAGAAAACAUGGGACUGAAAGAAGACAUGACCCCUACUCAGGGCUGGUUGAAAAUAUACUAGUACUAGUAGAUAGUGAUAUGGAAUACACGAUAGCAAAUAUACUAGUACCAGUACCAGUGCCUCAAAACUUGUGCCAUUUUGCCACAGCCAGUGAGAACAGGAUUAGGGUCAUGAAACAUACUCCCCAGUGCAAAAACUGUUAUUCGGCUCCAUAUAGAUGGUCAAUAAGAUAAGGGCGGCGACUGCUACCGUCGGAAUAAAUACACAAACCAUGAACUGGAGAGAAGAGAAUUGUAAAGAGAGAGCAAAUUACAAUAUAAUCAUUCUUAGGUGUGAGCUCGCUUUUUUUUUAAAAUGUUUCUGUAAACUGAAUUUGUAAUUAUGAGGAAUGUUUAGCAACAUUAUCUUAGCUCUGGUUCAUGUCAGGUACCAUACAUUAACCUAUGCAGAUCAUCAUCAGCAUAAAAAAUUUAUAAAAAGGAAAGAAAGAAACUUAACCGUAUGAUUUUCUUUAAUUAAAUUUUAUUUUGUUUUCCUUGGAAAUUUUUUAAGUUUUGAGAAGCUGAAUUCACAGUUUGUCUUGCAUUUUAAUGGUGCAGGCUUGCUGUCGUUUUACCCAAAAUUCAUGCAUGAAAGGAGAUAACUGUUCGUUAGAUCAUGACCUCUUCAAAUACCCUUUGGGGGAUUCCAGUGGUAAAAAAUUAGCUAAACUUUUUCUGAAUCAUGAAAAAUGGUGCCAAAUCAUCACCUAUUAAACAAUUUUUGGUUUGCAUGCAAAAUCUAGCUUCUCUUCCUGGAUGAAGAUGGAAAUUCGGCAACCUAAAGAUUCUUAAAUGAUAUAUGAAAUAAGAUUAAGAGAUCAAAUGGUCAGGAAAGUACUCACCAGGAUAGGAAAGUACUCACCAGGAUUGGCUACAAUGUCAAGAUUGGGUGUCUUGAUAUUCAAAGUUUGAAUAUCAAAAUCAAACUUCUAGAUAUUCAAACUUUGAAUAUCAAAUUCAAAAUUCUAGAUAUUCAAAGUUUGAUAUUCAAACUUUGAAUUUUGAAAUUUUGAACAAUAAUAAAUAAUUAAAAAAAAAUACGUGAAUAGUAGCUAAGAUUUUGGCUAUAAAUAGAGGGACUCAUUCCCUUAUUUGCUAAUCCAAUUUUUGAGAAGAGUUUUCUUGUAUUUAGAGAAAGUUUAGAGAGCUUGAAAUUACAAGCUCUUGUUUUAGUGUUUUGAGAGUUUGGGUGUAUUGGGAUUUUGGGAAGUGAGCUAAAAUACUACAAUACUUGUAACUCAUUUUCACUAGUAAAAUAUUUCCUUCUGUCUUCGCCCGUGGACGUAGGCUAAAAGCUGAACCACGUAAUUUCUGUUGUCCUCUUUUUGUGCUUGUUCUUUAUUUUCUUCCAAUUUUACUUUAGCUGCGUGUCUGCUUCACCCACCAAUUUCGUAAUAGUGGUAUCAGAGCUAUUGGUUGUAUUUUUGGAGUCGGGUACUAUUCACGUAAUGGUACUAUUCACAUAUAUGGUACUGUUCACGUAUACGGUACUGUUCACGUGAAACGGUGGGAGCGAUCCAAGAAUUUUGCGGUGCAAAGCAGGGAAUAGUGGUGUGAGUAAAACAACUGUGUGGUUUUGUACAUGUCUACAAAAGUUCUGUCACAAAGGCGAUAAGAGCUUAAGGAGUCUGGGUUUUAAGUGGGACCAUUGUGACCCCUCCAGUCUUUCCUGGGAACUUUCCUGGUGUGCAUUCUCACACAUACUCACAACUAUUCAAGGUGGUACACUAGCUUGUGUGUGGUAUUUAUCAACAAAAUGGCGGCAAAGUAUGAAAUUGAGAAGUUUAACGGAAAUAAUUUUUCGUUGUGAAAAAUGAAGAUGAAAGCUGUAUUGAGGAAAAAUAAUUGCUUGGCAGCAAUUGGAGAAAAGCCCAUGGAGAUAACUGAUGACAAGUGGAACGAGGUAGACGGCAACGCCAUUUCUGAUCUACACUUGGCACUUACAGACGAAGUAUUAUCCAGUGUGGCAGAGAAAAACAUAGCGAAGGAAAUUUGGGAUAUUCUCACAAAAUUGUAUGAGGCCAAGUCACUACACAACAAAAUUUUCUUGAAGAGGAAACUUUAUACUCUUCGAAUGGCGGAAUCUACAAUGGUGACCGACCACAUCAACACCUUGAAGACUCUAUUUUCACAACUCACAACGUUGGGUCAUAAUAUAGAGGAAAAUGAACGUGCAGAGCUUCUACUUCAAAGUCUACCAGAUUCGUAUGAUCAACUCAUCAUUAACCUGACGAACAACAAUCCAGCGGACAGUUUAGUUUUCGACGAUGUUGCAGCCUCCGUAUUAAAUGAGGAGAGCAGGCGGAAAAAUAAGGAAAACAGACAAGCAAGUUCGCAGCAAGCGGAGGCGCUAUCGGUGACGAGAGGGAGAUCAACAGAACGUGGCCCCAGUGGGAGUCACAAUAAUGGUAGAUCAAAAUCCAGAAGUAAGAAGAUGUUAAAUACUACAACUGUGGCAAGAAAGGGCACGUCAAGAAAGAGUGUUGGAGUAACCAGAAGAGAAAAGAGGGCAAAGAACCUGAGUCAUCAAAUGCUCAGGGGUGUGUAGCAAGUACCUCGGAUGAUGGAGAAAUUCUCUACAGCGAAGCAACAACUGUUUCAGAAGGCAGAAAAUGACUUUAUGAUGUCUGGCUUAUAGACUCAGGAGCUACCUGGCACAUGACCUCUCGGAGAGAAUGGUUCCACACAUAUGAACCUAUCUCAGGAGGAUCUGUAUAUAUGGGUAAUGAUCAUGCCUUGGAGAUCGCUGGUAUUGGUACUAUCAAAAUAAAAAUAUUUGAUGGUACAAUUCGCACAAUUGGGGAGGUACGCCAUGUCAACGGCCUGAAGAAAAAUCUAUUUUCUUUGGGACAAAUGGAUAGUCAUGGGUACAAAACUCAUGUGGAGAAUAGAAUUAUGAAAAUCGUUAAAGGCGCGCUUGUAUUGAUGAAAGCAGAAAAGAUCGGUGCUAAUUUAUUCAUGCUUAAAGGAGAAACACUACAUGAGGCUGAUGCGUGUGUCGCGUCAAAUGGAGAAGAAUCAACAAUGAUGUGGCACCUCAAACUUGGUCACAUGUCGGAACAAGGUUUGAAAAUUCUCUCUGAGAGAAAAUUGCUUCCGGGGCUCAAAUCGGUAAGUUUACCAUUUUGCGAGCAUUGUGUUACAAGUAAGCAGCAUAGAUUAAAGUUCAGUAGAUCUAUUGCUAGAAGUAAAUGCAUUCUAGACUUGAUUUAUUCUGAUGUUUGGGAAUCACCGGAUAUAUCCAUGGGAGGUGCAAAGUACAUGGUGACUUUCAUUGAUGAUUAUUCCAGAAGAUGUUGGGUGUAUCCAAUUAAGAAAAAGUCAGAUGUAUUUUCAGUGUUCAAAUAAUACAAAGCGCGGGUGGAACUUGAAUCUGGUAAAAAGAUCAAGUGCUUGAGGACAGAUAAUGGUGGAGAGUAUACAGAUGGUGAGUUUCUUGCUUUCUGUAAGCAAGAAGGUAUUCAGAGGCAGUUCACGGUGGCAUACCCUCCUCAACAAAAUGGAGUGGCAGAGCGGAUGAACAGGACUCUUACAGAAAGAAUAAGAGCUAUGUUGAGGACUGCUGGUCUACCCAAUUCAUUCUGGGCAGAAGCAGCCAAAACUGCCUGUUAUAUAGUAAAUCGAUCGCCAUCUACAGCUAUUGGGCUGAAGACAGCGAUGGAGAUGUGGACUGGAAAGCCAGCUGAUUAUUCCUACCUACAUGCAUUUAGAUGUCCUGUGUACGUGAUGUAUAAUGCCCAAGAAAGAACAAAGCUGGAUCCAAAAUCUAGAAGAUGUAUCUUCUUGGGAUAUGCUGAUGGAGUAAAGGGGUAUCGUCUGUGGGACCCCACUGCCCACAAGAUCGUCAUCAGCAGAGAUGUUAUCUUUAUAAAAGAUCAACUACAAAGGAGAGAUGAAGAUGAUAGCAGUGUAAAAGAAAAGUCAGAGACUAUACCGGUAUAUGUGGAAAAUAAUCUAGAAGAUUCAGAUUCUUCUGAAGCAGCACCAGAGCACGAAGAAUAAGAACCAGUCGAGUCCGAGGCUCCAGAAGUUCAUCGGUCAACUCGUGAGAGACGACCGCCAACGUGGCACUCGGAGUAUGUCACAGAAAUCAAUGUUGCGUACUGUCUUCUAACAGAGGAUGGAGAGCCUUCAAUUUUCCAUGAAGCUUUAAACAACUCAGAUGUUGCUUUGUGGAUGACAGCAAUGUAGGAAGAAAUUGAAGCUCUACACAAGAACAAGACAUGGGAACUUGUACCACUACUACGUGGUAGAAAAGCCAUUGGAAACAAAUGGGUCUACAAGAUCAAACGUGAUGGUAAUGAUCAAGUGGGACGGUAUCGUGCAAGACUGGUGGUGAAAGGAUAUGCUCAGAAAGAAGGUAUUGACUUCAACGAUAUAUUUUCUCCGGUGGUUCGACUCACAACAGUCAUAAUAGUCUUGGCAAUGUGUGCUACAUUUGACCUACAUCUAGAGCAGUUAGAUGUUAAAACUGCAUUUCUUCAUGGAGAACUUGAAGAAGAAAUUUAUAUGCUCCAACCAAAAGGUUUUGCAGAAACAGGAAAGGAAAACUUGGUUUGCAAGUUGAACAAAUCUCUUUACGGUCUCAAACAGGCGCCGAGGUGUUGGUAUAAGAGAUUUGAUUCCUUCAUCAUGAGCCUUGGAUAUAACAGACUCAGUUCAGACCAUUGUGCAUAUUACAAGAGGUUUGAAGAAAAUGAUUUCAUCAUUUUGCUGUUGUAUGUGGAUGACAUGUUGGUAGCAGGUCCCAACAAAGAUCGAAUCCAAGAAUUGAAGGCACAGUUGGCUAGGGAGUUUGAAAUGAAGGACUUGGGACCAGCAAACAAGAUUUUAGGGAUACAAAUUCACCGAGACAGAAAUAACAUGAAGAUUUGGCUUUCACAGAAGAAUUACUUGAAGAAAAUCUUGCGGCGCUUCAACAUGCAAGAUUGUAAGUCAAUUUCUACCCCACUUCCUGUUAAUUUCAAAUUAUCCUCAAGUAUAUGUCCUAGCAAUGAAGCAGAGAGGAAGGAGAUGUCUCGAGUACCGUAUGCAUCAGCAGUGGGAAGUUUGAUGUUCGCUAUGAUAUGUACUAGACCGGACAUUGCACAAGCAGUGGGAGCAGUCAGUCGAUACAUGGCGAAUCCUGGUGGAGAGCAUUGGAUAACUGUGAAGAGGAUUCUGAGAUACAUCAGAGGAACCUCAGAUUUUGCAUUAUGUUAUGGAGGAUUAGAGUUUACUGUCAGGGGCUAUGUGGAUUCAGAUUUUGCAGGAGACCUUGAUAAAAGGAAAUCCACUACUGGUUAUGUGUUUACACUUGCGGGAGCAGUUGUAAGCUGGGUUUCGAAACUGCAGACCGUUGUGGCUUUAUCUACAACAGAAGCAGAAUACAUGGCAGCUACACAAGCUUGCAAGGAAGCUAUUUGGAUACAAAGAUUAUUGGAGGAACUCGGGCACAAACAAGAGAAAAUUUAUGUGUUUUGUGACAGUCAGAGUGCCUUGCACAUUGCAAGGAAUCCAGCCUUUCAUUCCAGGACAAAGCACAUAGGAGUUCAGUAUCACUUCGUUCGAGAAGUAGUGGAAGACGGAAGUGUGGAUUUGCAGAAAAUCCAUACCAAGGAGAACCUAGCAGAUGUGAUGACCAAGCCGAUCAAUGCUGACAAGUUUAUCUGGAGUAGAUCCUCUUGUGGCCUAGCAGAAACGUAGGCAACAUAAUUCUGGUGAAGCAGAAAGGAUGGUGUGGAGAUUGAUUGGUUCUCAAUCAAAUCUCCAAGUGGGAGAAUGUCAAGAUUGGGUGUCUUCAUAUUCAAAGUUUGAAUAUCAAAAUCAAACUUCUAGAUAUUCAAACUUUGAAUAUCAAAUUCAAAAUUCUAGAUAUUCAAAGUUUGAUAUUCAAACUUUGAAUUUUGAAAAUUUGAACAAUAAUAAAUAAUUAAAAAAAAAUACGUGAAUAGUAGCCAAGAUUUUGGCUAUAAAUAGAGGGACUCAUUCCCUCAUUUGCUAAUCCAAUUUUUUUGAAGAGUUUUCUUGUAUUUAGAGAAAGUUUAGAGAGCUUGAAAUUAUAAGCUCUUGUUUUAGUGUUUUGAGAGUUUGGGUGUAUUGGGAUUUUGAGAAGUGAGCUAAAAUAUUACAAUACUUGUAACUCAUUUUCACUAGUAAAAUAUUUCCUUCUGUCUUCGCCCGUGGACGUAGGCUAAAAGCCGAACCACGUAAUUGAUGUUGUCCUCUUUUUGUGCUUGUUCUUUAUUUUCUUCCAAUUUUACUUUAGCUGCGUGUCUGCUUCACCCACUAAUUUCCUAACAUACAAGGGGCCAGAUUGUUCAUUGUACGAUUCAUAAUUGUUGUACAGGCUUCUUUGUAAUUCAUGAUCAUCAACAAAGGAUAUGUAUAUGCAUACAUGUGAUGAAGAGAGAAGAUUAAAUAUAGUUUAGCUGUGUAUAUAAUGGGAAGUGCGGAUAAGUGAUUAAUGCACAUGGAAUGCCAGAGGAAACUUCAUGAUUAGAAGAGCAGGUUUCAUUUUGUCCCUCUUAGCUCUUGUUCAUCUGGAUGGACGAUAUUUUAGAGGACAUUAGCUAUAUGCUUUGAUUUCUUUUCAAUGAACACUUUAAAAUGAGAAACACAAUGGGGUAAAUUUAACAAUAUUUAGGCAAUCAACAGAGCUUUAUUUUUUAUUUUAUUGACUUGCUAUAAGAAACCACACAUUGCUCUCGAUAAAUGCAACUUGUAAGAAAACUUUGUAAAUGAUUAACAGCAACAAUAUGAAUAUUAUGAUCCAAUUUUAUCAUCGGGAAAAUGAGAUAUUUUUGGUGGUCUAAUCACAUUUUUAAACUCUCGUGCUUUACAAAGCCCUUUGAUCAAUGCAGAGUUACUGAUAAGUUCAUAAUUGUAAUAGAAAAAUUAAGUAAUUCUAGAAGGCAAGUGAGACACAGCUUGGCAUUUUCAAUCACCAUUGCCCUUUCUAAGAUUCUUGCCAUCACUGAUACUUAUUGUUAGGUUAAGAACAGAGGCGAAGCUAGAAAAAAAAAUUUUGGGUGGCCUAAAAUUUUUUUCCAAGUCCCAAUGUUAUCCCAACUGAAAAGAUAAAGCUUAAUGAAAAAUUCAUUAAUAUAUAAGAAAAUACAUCAAAUCCAAGAGACAAUUUAAUUACAAUUAAGUAUUAUUUCAUUUGCGCCUUGCGAUACUUUCGAGAAUUAAAUUCAUCUAUUAUCGAAUCUGAAUCGAUAGUGUCUACAAAAUCUCUUUCAAUGUAGAUAACCAUACAAUCUGAUAAAAACUCUUUCUUCAUCUUAUUUCGAAGUUGUGUGUUGAUAAGCUUCGUAGCUAAAAAUACUCGUUCAGUCGUUGCAGUCGAAACAUGAAGAGUCAACACUAAACGAAUCAAUCUAUUUAUCAAAAAAUAAAUUUGAGACUUUCUUGUUUCAACUAAUUUUAGACAUAAUUCAGAAAGUGAAGAAAUAUAUUGAAACUCAACAAGACGAAGCACAUCAAUCUGAAAACAUUCUAACUGUCUUCUCAAAGUAAGUAUCUCAGAUGGAGUAAAAUCUGGAGGAUAAAAUCUCUCUACAAGAUUACAAAUAUCAUCAACAUUAAAUGAUUUGAAAGAAUCAACAUGAUUCAAAGCAGAGCUCAGAGUAAGAACUUCCAUCGUCUUAUUUGUAAAUCUAUUAUUUAACUCCAUCAACUAAAAAUCUAUUACAACAUUAAACAAAUCAAUUUGAUAAUAAUGCUCCACUGUAACAUAAUCUUUCUGCUUACAAGGACGCAUCGUACCGUUCAUAUGGCGAUCAUUCAUUCCAAGCACAUCAAUAUGAUGACUUUCACAAACUGAUAUCACACUCUUAAUAAAAGUAUUCCAACUAUUAUCCCUUAAGCUUUGAAUAAGUGAUUUUGUAGUUGAUAUUAAAUGUAUAGCAUUUAAAAUGUCUUGAGAUUUCAUUUGUAAUGCUUGACAAAGUAAAUCACUUAUCCCUAAAACCUUAUUCAUCAAAUGCAAGAUGAAAAACAAAAUUUAAAGGUUGACGUUGCAUUAUGCACACCUUUAGCUUCCCCUCGUAUGUCAUUAUUCGAUCCAUUGCAAAUCAUCUUUUCAAGAUACUCAUGAGCAACACCAAACAUAUUGAUCAAUCUACUGACAGAUGUAAAAUGAGAGCUCCAACGAGUUACUCCAGGUCAUUAUAAUGAACAAAUUUGAUUAGCUCAUGUCCUAGUUUCAAGCUCCCCAGAGGCUAUCAAAUCAAUAAUUUCAGCCUCCCUAAUAGAUUUCAACUCUGAAUGACGCUUAGGAGAGCAACCAAAAACAUUGACAAUGGAAUUCAAAGUUGAAAAAAAUAUCCAUACAUCAGGCACAUCCUUGGAAACUUUCACUAAUGCAAGUUGCACCCGAUGAGCAAAACAAUGUACAUAAUAUGCAUAUGGACAGUCUUCUCAAAAUAAUGCUUGCAAUUCAUUCCAUUCACCUCGCAUAUUACUAACAUCAUCAUAUCUUUGUCCUCGUAAAUCUUCAACCAAAAGAUUACAACGAGUAAGGACAUUAUAUAUUUCUUUUUUAAGAGUUGAUGCACUGGUUUCUUUCACAUUCACAACUUCGAAAAACCAUUCACGAACAAUCCAUCACAAUCAACAUAUCUCAAAAUAAUAGUCAUUUGUUCUUUUUUAUAUUCAUCUUGUGCUUCAUCAACAAGAAUACAAAAUUUUACAUCUCCAAUUUCUUCACGAAUCUUUUGCCGCACUCUAUUGCCAAUGAUAUUCAAAAGCUCUUUUUGAAUAUCGGAUGAAGUAUAUUUUGCAUUGCCGGGACCAUUUUCCCAGACAACUUCAGCAAUAUCUUUAUUCAUCCUUGCUAAAUACUUUAUCAUUUCAGUAAAAUUUCCAAGAUUAGAGGAUUUAAUGGACUCAUCAUGGCCUCUAAAGGCACAUGCUUGCUUUGCAAGCCAUUUAACAGCUUCUAUUGAGGUUUGAAGCCGCAAUUUGUUCUGUAAAAUUUGUUAUGAUGAUUGUGCAUUCAUGAAUCUAUCUAUAUGUUGAGAUGGAUUCUUUAAACCACCCCACUUUAGCAUAGCCUUAGCAUGAUGUGAAUUAAGCCCCCUUUAAUGAUGCAAAGAAGAACAUCUCUCUCUAUUAUUAAUUUUCUUCCAACUCGUAAACCCUUUAAUUGUAAACUUAGGAUAUUUUGCUUUUUUUUCGUCAAAAAGAAAACAUGCGAAACAAUAUAAAUCAUCAAUUUCUUUAGAAUACUCAAGCCAAGGAAAUUGUGCAUACCAAGUAAAAUAGAAUUGACUACGGAUUUGAACCAUAGCAUAUGCUUUCAUAAAACAAUACGAUUCUCCCGAUCUAAAUCAAGCAUGUUUUCCAAGAACAAGUUCUAUUCGUAUUGAAAUCGACGAAAUUGUUGCCCAUCAAAUGAAGGUGGAAACUCUUCUAACUUUGGUUGAUAUGGACCCAUGCUGAUAUACAUUCUCCUAAUGUCAUCUUGUUGAUUAACAGGAUAUGUCCAUAUUGGUUUAUGUAACUUCGGAUCACGUUCUAAUGAGGCAAUAUUUUCACUCUGAGCUUCAACUCUUCGAGACUUAGACGUAGGUUGCUCAUCUAGUUUAGGAUCAUCAACAUCACAUGGAACCUCACUUGACGAUUGACCACCAUCUUUUUUCUUAAAAAAUGUAAGAAGACUUUUUCUUGGCUUUAAUGAUUGAUUGUUUGACAUUAAUUAACACUUGAAAAAUAAAGAAGUAAAAACAUAAAAGCAAUUAAAAAAAUCACCGAUAAGUUUAAUUAACAAAUUAAUAAAAGCAUAGAACUGUUAGUUCAUCACAAUAACACAUUGACACUAUCCAAAAGCCAAACAAUAAGUUUAAUUGACAAAUUAACAUUAUAUUUGGAUUGAAUUUAUGGUCUCCAUUUGACCUAACAAUAAUUUAAUCUUAUACAAUCAUUUUUUUCUAAUUAAGUAUAGUUGCAACCCCUAUACAAUUCUUUUAACUGAGAUAAUUUAGUUUUUACUACCUCACAGCUUAUAAAUAUAUUGUAAGUGAUUAAACACAAAAUAAAUUUUCUUACCAAGAAGAAGACAGAGAAUUGAAGAAGCCAAGAAAAAAAGAACGAAGAAGCCAAGAGAAGAGAGAGUGCACGUUCUGGAAUCUGGAACCUUGAAAAAGGGAAUCCUUUUUUUUAAAUUUAUUCAUAACAAUGGGCCCUUUUUAUUCAAUAAAUCGAAUCCCCUUUUUCUUAGUUUAUUUAUAAAAAUUGGCCGAAUGGCAAAGUUGAAAAUAAUGGAGUAGUUACAGUUGUAAAUAAAAGUACAAAUAAUGAUAGUUUUGUAAACUAGGCCAAUGGUAUUUUUGUAAAUUUCUAAAAUUUUGGACGGGCUGUAGCCUACCCCGGCUCACACAUAGCCUCGCCCCCGGUUAAGAAUAAGGAUUGACACGCCAGAUAAAAUAUUUCUAAUUGCCGCUACCAGUUGGUUUCAAUGGUGCUGGAAUAAUCAGUAAAAUAAGGAAGAAUGCAUGAAUCAUAGACCUUGUCAGUUAGGGAUUCCUUAUUUAAGAAGUUGUGAAGCCACCACCAUGUUUUAGAACCCAACUAAAUAAAAAAUGGAAUCAAAAGUAAUAUAAGUAUUGAAGUAAGAGCAUUCAAAGGCUUGGACAUUAUGCAUAACUCUAGAACACUUGAAAAUAUGACAGAACUUUGCAGGGAAAAAUAAUAAAUGUAGAAGUCAUGUACCUAUAACCCCAAUGAGUAUAACAUAUAGCACUAGGAUCUUGUGCUCCAGAUGCAUCUCCAAAUCCCUUCAAUAAGAAGUUUGUUCUAAAAGAUUGUCUUGCUUUAUAUGUGAAGCCAGCACUUUUUAUUUCCCCAAAAGUUGGUGCAAAUAUUAACAAACUAGAAGAGAGUUCUUUAAUUUCUAACAGCGUGCCUGCAACGGGAAAUAUUAGUAUGUCAUCUUAAAUGAGGCAGCUAUUGUUGUUUAAGUCUUAGUUGUAAGAAGAAGAUUCACUUGCAGCAUCAAAAUUUUAAAACACUUCCAGCAGGUUUAUAAAUUUUUCUGUCUUGAUGACCGCAAUUUAGAUCACAUGUCACAAGCAUCAAGUCCUAUCAAGGCAAUUCAAAUAUCUAACUAUUUCAUGGAGAAAAAACAUUCUUUAUUCCCCCAACUCCCCUCCCCCAAAAAAAAUUAUAAACUAAAGAGUAAAGACCAUUGCAUGUUUGUUGUUACCAUAUGCACAAUCUUGUCACUAUAGGUAAUACUAAGAACAAAUAAUGAAGACUUUUGGUCCAAAGCAGCAUAUAUACAGCUUUUAAUGAACAAAAAAUAUGCCACACCUAAUGAACAGCAAAGGCUAUGCAACAACUUGCAAUCUAAAUAUUACCCAGCAAAUGGUAUGAAUAUGAAAUAAAACCGUGUCAACACUUACCUAAAGAACUGAUUAGAUGCCGUGGUUUGCCAAUGUUCAAAUCAUUUGGCAGUUUAAAUCAAUUAGCUGGUUGUUAAGUAUGAAAAACACCUCAUUUUAAGACGGAAACUUCUCAUCCAUUGAUAAAAAACUUCUCAUUCAUUGAUAAGAACACUUCAUUUCAUUCAUCAUUUGCAGAAUUCAUACUUUAAUGCAAUUACAGAUUCAAUUAAAAUCUAAGAAAGAAAGCUCACAGCUGAGACCUGAAGUAAUUGCCAAAAUAGCUCAAAUUUACAUGACAAAGAAAGAAUUGUGUCAAUCUACAAAGUUCUCAACUUGCAGUGGCAGAGCCAACUCCAUUAGUUUCUUCUAUACUAACACAUUUUUUGCAUAUACAGCAAGGUAAAAGCAAGCCUUGUAGUAUAAUAAAAAUAUGAAACCAAUAGCUUCUGAUUGUCAAAAAACAAAGACAUGCUUGCUUGCGUCCACUCGAAAAACGCAUCGCAUACGCCUAACUAAAGUACCAAGAAACCUCUGAAACAUGAGUUCAAAUGAAACCAUACGAAGAUGAUUCAAAAACUGAGAUACCAGGGCCUCCAUCCACAAGAUAUUGGCAUCAUUGCCCAAGACAUGAAGACUGCCCCCAAAAGGAUGGCUAAGACGAGGAAUAGAACUGACCAUGCUCGGACACUAAAACGAUUAAAGAAAAUCUGCAAAAUCUAGAGUAGAGAAGACCGCACUUUGAUUUAGAGGAAGAAGAAACAAAACAGUAUUAUGGUUCAACUUGUAAAGAUAGUUUUCCUCUAAUAAUUUUCAUAACUUUCUAAAUCAAAUAUCGUACAAUUCAAGAGAGCUUUAAAUAUUUUCGAAUUUGAUCAAUAUGGGACGCAACGUAUCACAUGACAGAGAAUACAAAAUGACCCAAAAAAAAAUUUUGCUCUCCGAAACUUCAAGUCCCUCAACAUUCAAUUAUCUCUCCCAACAAACAAUCAAUCAAUUCCGCACUUUAUUAGCAAAGUUUCUAAACUUCCAUGUUUAAAGAUAAAAGAAAAAUAAAGUAAACUUGCAUGCGUAGCUGGAAAUAAAACAAAUCAAGACAGAAAAAAAAAACGGAUACCUUUAGCACUUGAUCCUAACCUUGCACUUCCACAACCCCAACCAACGUAGGCAGUAAGAAAAUCACGCUAGCAAUGAUAUCAUCCUGUCCAAUAAUCUUGAAACCAUCAUUAAUUAAGCCUCCUUCAGUCAAGCAUUCAUACGUCGCCUAGCCAUAGUGUAGAGCAAGAAAUUGGAUCAGCCUUCGAGCAUUAAUGCCGCCUCCCCUAGUACCACAUUGUAGGCCACAAAUCAUAGUAGUUAUGUAUAUGGCAGAGAAUGAUUUUCAGAAGAACCGGUUUCUAGGUGGAGUCAAUUCCUCAAGAAGAUCAAGCAAGACCCACUUUAUUCGAUAUCUGAUGGGGGGAUCGUUUUAUAUCUCUCCCAGCAAAGCAUGUAGUAUGACCAUUAACACAAUACUUAUACCAACAAGAGGGAACCAUAUAGAGAAUAUAUUUUCAUUUUCUUGCCAAUAGUGAAUUGAUAGCAUGACCAAAGAGAUCAAAGAUAAUGCAAAAGUAAUUCCACAUGAUAGAGAUUGAAGAAAGAGCUGAUGAUUGAUGAACAAUGGUGAAAGAAAGAAAGAAAAAUGAUAAUGAAUCUUGGAGAAUGUAAUGAAAGAAAGAGGCUGAAUCUUCAAGAGAAUGUUGUUGAUUAAUGCUAAAUCAAUUUUGUGAGUGACUCAGGCUUUGUUUAUUUAACUAACUGUAGAUUGGAGCCAAUUCUUAUAACUGAUUAUAAAACUAACUAUUAUUUACUACAAACUCAGGUUUAGCUCACUAACUAGAUAGUGAAUAUUUUAACUAAUUGUAACCAUUUCUUAUUUAAUGAAACCGUUAAAAAUAAAUAUGCGACAUGUCGUUGUAGUCUUAAUAGUUGGUUAAGUCUUACUUCCCUACACUCUAUUAGAUUUCAUAUUUUUGUGUUCUCUCCUAAAGGUAAUAUGCCAUGUUGUAUGAGCCACGCUUUAGCUAACCACUUCCUGCAUUUUGUAAUAUAUAGUUGUUACCUUGUUGUAGAGAAUUUUGCCAUCAUCAGAAGUACUUGUCAUACAACCCUAAGCAUUUAAUGACUCAACUUUAUAGUUUAUACUCUGCUUGUUUUUCUAACACUCUUUCUUGAUAUGCCCUUUCUUAUCACAAUUGUAGCAUUUGACAUUCUUCUUACUUCUUGAUUUUGAUCUAUUAUGAUUAUGCUCCCACUGGGGCCAUGUUUCGUUGAUCUCCCUCUCGUCAUCAAUAAUGCCUCAUCUUGUUGUGAGCAUACAUGUCUGCCUUCCUUAUUUUUCCACAUGUUGUCUUUAUUUAAUACCGAGGCUGGGAUAUCUUCAAAAACUAGACUGUCUGUCUGAUUGUUGUUCCCCAGAUUGAUGAUGGAUUGAUCAUAGAAUCUGGUAGACUUUAAAGUAGAAGCUCCGCACAUUCAUUUUCCUCUAUUUGAUAACCCAAUGUAAUAAGGUGUGAAAAUAAAGUUUUCACGGUGUUGAUAUGAGGUAGAUUAUACCAUUCAAAGAGUACAGAGUCUCCUUUUCAAGAAGAUCUUAUUGUGUAGUGACUUAGCCUUGUACAGUUUUGUGAGAGUGUCUCAUAUUUUCUCGAUAAUAUUUUUCCCCUCCACACUAGAUAACACUUCAUAAGCUAGUGAUGAAUGGAGAUCAACAAUUGCAUUAUCGUCUAUCUCGUUGCGCUUGGUGUCAUCGGUUAUCUCUAUGGGCAUUUCUCCAAUUGUUACCAAGUGGUGUGCAAUUUUUAAUGUUGUAGGUGUCAAUGUGUAAGUGUAAACAAUAAGUAAUAUACAGAUGAGUAUUCAGAUCGUCUCCACAUAGAUUAAUAUUAUCAUACUUGCUACAACAAUUUUAACAGUAAAGUUUUGUUCUAAAUUAGAGUAAGACUCGAGAUGGCAAUUGUACCCGCAAACUCGCAAACCGCCGUAACCCGCCUGCUAAAACCCGCCCACUGCGGGUAAUUUUACCUGUUGUGGGUGGGUUUAGUAUUAUAAAUUAAAACCCACGCAUGAAUGCGGAUGGGUUUGGUAUUGACCUUAUAUUCGGCGAAUACCAGCAUGGAUAUCCGCCAGACCCGCAAUAUUUUUUUCUAAAUAUUUUUUAUUUAAUUUUCAUUUAAAAAAUGUAUAAAGAAAAUUAUGUAAUUAUUCAAAAUGUAUAAAGGAAAUUGCAAUUAAAAUCAAAUUUGUAAAUAGCGAAAGGCCUAAAGCCAAAGUUGUGUAUGUGUGUACAGUGUACGUGGCCCAUCUCCCAUUCUAAAAUGAUAACCUAAAGCAAAUAAAGGCAUUUCCCCUUUUGAGUUUUUGACUUAGCCGCACAUGAGCUGACCAUUUCUCAUCUCUAUCUUCAAUUCUUCAUUCAACAUUCUUUUCUUCUUGAACCCGAGCUUGUGAUUUGUGACAGUGAGCCAGCUCUCUUCACUGCCAACAAGGAUGCGUCGUGCUGUUGCAGCUGCCUGGGUACCGUUGCUAUUGCAGCCAAUUUUGCAAUCGUGGACGGUACGAAAUUCUUAUGUCUUUCCUAACAAGUUGUAACUAAUUUUGUUGCUUAAUAAACAUGCCAGCUAAGUGAAAAAUAGCUUACAAACGUUUAUUGAAUUAAAUUUUAAUUUUAAUUUUCGUCUCUUUGUAAAUUUUAAUUUUAAGUAAAUAUUCAGACUUAAAAACGUUUAUUGAAUUAAAUAAGAUGAUGCAUGAUAUAGUAUUUUAUUUAACUCCAAUCAAUUUAGUUAAAAAAUUUGAAACUUAGAACGUCAACAAUCUAUUAAUUUUGUUGUUUUUGAGUUGAUUAUGUAAAUAGUUAGGCUAGCGUAAAUUGCUGAAUUCGCUUGCUAAUUUUUCAUUUUAUCUUUACUUAAUAAACAUGCCAGCUAAUCCAAUACCUGAUACGAUUUAAAAUCACUUAAAAUAGCAUGUUAAUUGAUAUAAUUUAAUUUAGCUUGUUUGGAAUCAGCAUGCAUAAUUUUGUACUUUCGGCUAGCUUAACUUGUUAACCCGAAAAUCGGUAUUCUUGUGUAUUGAUUUAAAAUCUGUUGAAAUUUUUAAGGUAAAAGAUGGAGUAAGCCUUUGAUCUCAGCGACAAUAAUUCGCCUACAACAAGAACAGAAGUUCAGAUAGCUUCAAACCAAUCUCCAAUAACAUGUGAGGAACUUGUAGACAUUGAGGUAGCUUCAACCCAAACUCCAAUUUCAGUACAUGAAAAAGAAAUUGCUUCUGGUGAUACUGAAAAUAGUAAAUUGACUAGUGAUGUUUGGGAAUACUUUAAAAGACAGAAAGUUAGUGGGAAAUUAGAAUAUGUAGCUGUUUGCAACUACUGUCAUAAGAGAUUAAGUGCGAAGCGUAAAAAUGGCACUGGCCAUUUACACACUCAUAUGGGGUUGUGUUUUAUGCGGUCGAACCACACAGUUGAGUCAACUCAAAAUCAUCUACAAGCUAAGAAAGAGAGUGGAAAAUGUAAAGUAUCCACGUUUUCUUUUAAUCAAGAAACUUCAAGGAAAGAGCUUGCAAAUAUGAUAAUUAUUCAUGAGUAUCCGCUGAAUAUGGUUGAACAUUGGGCUUUUCAAAGAUUUGUUGGUUCUCUCCAGCCAAUGUUUAGGUUUGUCUCUCGUAAUGAGUAAAAAGUGACAUUGAAAAUUUGUGACUACGAGAGGGCCAAAACAAUGAGCUUGUUGGACUCAAAUCGGAGUAGAAUUGCGAUUACUACUGAUAUAUGGACUUCUAGUAACCAGCAAAAGGGAUUUAUAGCUAUAACAUCACAUUUUAUUGAUGAUAAUUGGGAGCUGCAAAUUCGUAUCAUUAGGUAGUUUCUACACUAAAUUACUAAGUCUAUUUUAGUUUUAAAUUUUAUACUUAUUACAUGAUACUAAUAAUUUUUUUUUAAUUUAGGAUCUUAUACGUGCCAUGUCCACAUACUGCUGAGGUACUCUCUGAAGCUUUGGUGUCAUGUUUGCUUGAGUGGUAAGUUGUCUACUUUGACUGUUGAUAACUGCACCACAAGUGAUGCCAUGAUUGAUAUCUUGCUGGAAAAGAUUUCUAGUAGUUUGCUUUCUUUGAAUGUGGAUUUAUUUCACAUGCGUUGUGCUGCUCAUAUAUUGAAUUUAAUUGUGAAGGAGGGGAUGAGUGUGAUUAGUGAUAGUAUUGAGAGAAUUCGUAAUAGUGUUCUAUUUUGGUCUGCCACACCUAAAAGACGAGAAACAUUUUAUGGGACUGCUCGUAAAUGUAAUAUUUCUUGUAAUAGAAAUCUAGUUCAGGACUGUAAGACUAGAUGGAACUCUACAUACUUAAUGCUUAAUAGAGCUUUGGUUUUCAAAGAAGUAUUUCCUCGUUUAAAACAAUGAGAAUCAUUAUACAAAUUUUUACCCACUGAAGAAGAUUGGGUUUUUGCUAAAGAAAUUCGAGAUAGACUUGAAUCAUUUUAUGAAGUGACUACAUUAUUUUCUGGGACUAGAUAUCCAACAGCUAAUAUUUACUUUUCAAGCAUUUGUGAGAUUAAAUUGUCAAUUUAUGAGUGGAUGUAUUCUAACUGUGAAAAAAUCUAAGCAAUGGCUGACUCAAUGAUUGGAAAGUUUGAAAAAUAUUGGAGUGUUGUUCAUGGAUUCAUGGCUAUGGCAGUUGUUUUGGACCCUAGAUUUAAGAUGAAAUUAAUCGAGUAUUAUUUUGACUUGCUGUAUGGAGAUGGUGCUAAAAAAGAGAUUGAGAAUGUUCGAAGCUUUUGUUAUGAUAUGUUGAAAGAUUAUCAAGCUAGGUGUAAGUCAAAAGAAAAUUCACAAGUUCCAGUUCAAGCUUCAAUUGCUUCAUCAUCUCGAGCUGUGGUAGCUCAUUCAAAACUUGGGAAACAUUUGGCUAAUUUUGAUGCUUUUGUAGAUCAAAGUGGUAGUACAACCCAUGUUAAAUUAGAAUUGGACUAUUAUUUGGAAGAAUCUAUUAUUCCAAGAUCUGAAAAUUUUGAUAUACUUUGUUGGUGGAAAACAAAUGGAUCAAAAUAUUCAACUUUGCAAGCAAUUGCAAGAGAUGUUUUAGCCAUUAUGGUAUCCACCGUUGCAUCCGAGUCGGCAUUUAGUACUGGUGGUAGAUUUGUCUCUCCACAUUGUAGUAGACUUCAUCCAAAGACAUUGGAAGCUUUAAUGUGUGCUCAAAAUUGGUUGUUUGCUGAAUUUGAUGGUAUGAAAUUGUAUUUUUACUUCAAUAGAAUAUAAUAUCUAGUAUACAUUACAAUUUACAAAUUUAUAAUCAUCUAUAUUUUUUUCUUGAUAUACUCGUUACCUGUAGAUGCAGAUUCUUCUAAUAAAGCAAGAAAUAGCAAAUUGUCCGAAGAUGAAGAUAUUGUUGAUGAGGUAAAGAAUUACGUCUCUUUAACUUAAUUCAUAGAUUAUUAUAUACCUAUUAUAAUUUUGUAUGUACUAUUUUUCUUUAACUUAAUACAUGAAUUAUUUCAUUAUUAUAAUUUUUUCUCCGAAUUAGUAUUUGAAAAUAUUAAUAUUAAUUAUUAUUGUAGGCAUCGUGUUGGAUGGGUGCUUGUGGUGGUGAAUGAAAUGAAGUAUCUUCUCUUGGAGCUUGUUUUAAAUGAUGAUAUGAAAUGUAAGUGUUAUUUUUUUAUACUAAUUUAUGUUUUGUAAAUGGAUUUGUGUAAUUUAUACUUAAAUUUGAGAAUUUGUGUUGGAUUGAUGUUGAACUUUUAAUUUUUCAUUUACAUUGUUAAAUGUAAAAUUGAGUAUAUUAUGUAGAAUUUGAGGUUAUUAUUAUAAAUUUAUAUAUUAAAUAUUUGUGAUUUUAAAUGUAGAAACCCGCAAAAAAUCCGCCGGAUACUAUUACGGAUUUGGUAAUUGUUAAAACUCGUUGUGGGUGGAUUUUCUUAAAAAAAUUAAAACCCGCCACGGGUUGCGAGUGGGUUUGGUAAUUUAAAGUUUAUGCGGGUUUGGGUUUGGUAAUGGCAAACCCGCUGUGGGUGGUGCCCAUUGCCAUCCCUAAGUAAGACAAUUAAUGAAACUAAUAAACUAAUUAAAAUAAAAAUGCAAUAAAUAAAAAUGUAAUAAAGAAAAUUAUCACGUCAACACAGGGAUUUAACAAAUGGGAAUAUAAGUAGUUGAGUGAAUAAUCUCACUUAAUGGCAUUGACUAUUUUUCAAUUACAGUACCGUUGCUACAACAUCUACUACAGCACUGGGCCGAGUCCCUCAUGCAUCUUUAAUUGUUACUUGUUGGAUAUCUUAUAUCUAAUACAACUUAACAGUGACCAAUUGUUAUGCCAACAUAAAAUAUAUCACCAAACGAUCUAGGUUCCAUUUACUCUACAAGGUGAAUCCUUAUGUCUAGUUCAUCACUAAUUUUAAAUUAAGCAUGGCCCUAUCAAAUUGAGAUUUACUCAACUUAGGAAACCUAAUUUAAAAUCAAGUAUUUUCUUAAUGAGAUCCACUAAGUCAGACAUUUCUCAGGCACUUUCUUAGCUAGUAUCCCUAAAUGGGUGGUCAGCCGAAAUAGAGAAUUAAAAUAAAUCAAUUAAGACAAAGUGUUAUAGCAAACACAGAGCAACAUGAAUAUGUCAGUCAAACAUCUAUUAAGAUCAUUUUAUCACUCAACCACAAUCAAAUUUAAUUCAUGAUUUGCGAUUAAAAAAAUAAAUAAAAGAGUUUCAACCAUUAAAUACAUCCCUAUAAUGAAAUAGAAAACAAGAAAAUUAAAAAAGGACUAAUUUUCUAAUUCAUCUUUGCGAUUUGUCCUUUGUCAGUCUUUAAUCUCUCCCUUGAUUUAUGUUUUCUUAUUGCUUCUUUUUUCGAUUUUUCUCCUUGAGUGACGACUCUCUCUUUCCUUUGCAAGCGUGCUUAUUGUAUAGUUGAGAAUUAGGGCUGAAAUACUAUCUAAGCAACCCAACAGGGAGGGCGGUGAAUUGGGUUAUUAAAAAUUAAGUUAAGCAAACCACAUAACAAUUUAAUAUAAUGCCUUAAUGGAAUAAAAAAUAAUAAAUUCAAUCAAGCAUAAUAAUAAAAGAGUAAGGGAAGAGAAAACGAACACAAGGAUUUUUACAUGGUUCGGCAAUCUCCGACUACGUCCACACCUCCAAACACACCCGGCUUGAAGAUUUCACUAUCCAAGCCUCCCAAUGCUUCAAACGCUUACAAUUGACUUCCAAGGUGUCAAUUGACCUUUACAACAAGAGAUUAUCCCCAAUCUUUUAACAUAAGUGUAUCCUAACACUUACAACCUCUCAAAGAUAAUGAUUACAAAUGAAUUUUCUCUCACACAAUGGUUUGAUUACAAAUGAAUGCUCAAUGUGUGAAUCAAAGAAACAAAAACAAGUUCAAAGCUCAAUAAUAGUUUUAUGCUCAAUAGCAAGCUCAAUGAUAACUCUUGGAUCUGUUUUUGUUUGAAUGGGAUUGAGCUUAUUUAUAGUUGGAGCUGAAAACUAACCGUUAUUGACUUUCUGCACGAAAACAGUUCGCCGUUAAUCAUUAUCGGUUAACCGUUUUGGCUGGUCCAAGUUACUGUUCGGUUGAAUUUCAAAUAAACGGCUAACCGCUUGUCACUAUCGGUUAACCGUUAAUUUCCAGAGACCUGCAAAACAAAUUUGGCUUAACCGUUUUCACUAAACGGUUCAAGGUUAGCAAUUUGGAAAUUAUCGGUUCACCGUUUUUCCAUAAACGGUUCACCGUUUGCUACAUAAACUGCUACAAUGAAAUUAUUUUCUAAAAUUAUAUUUUUACCCCAAAACUGUCUAUAAUUAUACUAUGACCCAAAUCGUCAUAAAACUUUACAAAUCAGUCCAUUUCUGUAGUUUUAAAACUUUUUCAAUUUGUCCAUGAACUUGAAAACUAACCAAUUCUAUAAAAUCAUUUUUCCUUCAAGUAUAAAACCUUAUAUUAUUAAAAUAAUGAUUUUUUUAAAAUGUAUGAAAAAUAAUUUGAGCUUUUAAAACCUUAAUCUUUCUUAAUCUUGUUCGUUAUCAUCAAAAUCAACAUUAUGGAUACAUAUAUGCUAACAAGGGCAAUCAGAAGUGUAGGAUGUGUAUCUUCCAUUUUUGGAAACUUUAAAUCGCAAUGUGUUAAAUAUGUCGCGUGAACUCUUCUUUGUUAAUGCUUUAGGAUUGCUACAGCACGGUGCUACAGUUACGUGCUACAGCAUUUUCAUUGUUUCUUAUUUGUUUCAAUUCUUAUGUAGCCCAGUUCUUUCAUUAUCUCUGUAAGUCCAUUGGCACACAUUCUUUUCUUGAAAUUUAAGCUUCUGGUUACCUACAAUUACGCAGAUAAUCUAAGCAUAAAUUAUUCUAAAACAACUAAAUUUAUUAAAAAUAAACUAUAACAAAUGUUCAUUCAAAUACAACUAAAAUGCAAUGAGAACAAAUCAUUUACUCUCUAAGUAUUACUGAUUUAAGCUAAAACAUAUCAUGAUAACUCUCAUUUCAUAGAGUUAUCACCAAGCAAUUGUUUUACCUCAGAAUAGCUUUCAUCUUCAUUUUCCACAACAAGAAAUUGUUUAGGUUGAACUUUUCAGUUUUGUAUUUUGCCACCAUUGUUUCUCACCAAGAACUGUCUUUGCUAGGAUCAAAUCCUAUUGUUUCAUAUGAAUAGUAACCACACAUGUAAACAUUACUGUAUACGUAAAGCUGAUGUAUACGUGAACAGUACCCCAACUCCAAAAAUAAAACUAAUAGUUCUGAUACAUUGUUAGAAAAUUGAUGGGGAAGCAGGACCACAACUAAAAUGAAAUUGUAGAAAAAUAAUGAACAAGCACACAAAGUGGACAUCAGAAUUUACGUGGUUUACCUUGUAACCUACGUCCACCAGUAAAGAUAGAAGGAUAUAUUGUACUAGUGAAAAUGAGUUACAAGUAUUAUAGUAUUUUAUCUCACAAUGCAAAACCCCAAUACACCCAAAUUCUCAAAUCAUUAAAGCAAGAACUUAAUGCUCUGUCACUCUCAACUUUCGAUUUCUCUUUAAAAUGAAUUUAAGAAUGGAAAGCUCAAAACCUAUAGGAACUCCCCUUUUUAUAGCAAAAAUUAACUAUUAAAAUAAUAUUUUUUGUCGAACCACAAGCAACUUGACAUUAGUACCCAACUUUGAUAGCUCUAGCUUCAGCUAGUUAAGCAAACAAAUCAGAAUUACUCACUCACAUACACAAACAAAUAGUUAUUAAAGAUUCAACAACAUUAAUUCUCUUUAGGACUCAGCUUCUUUCUUUCACUUUAUUAUCCAAUAUUCAUCAUCAUCUUUCUUUUAUUCUUUCUUUCACCAUUAAUAUUCAUCAACUCGUUAUUCAUACUUCAUCAUGUGGACUAGUUGGGACUCCUUUAGCUAUUUCUUCCUUUUUUUUUUCUUUCUUGUUAACAGCUCAAAUCUUUCCUAGAUAGGAAAAUAUGUUCUCCACAAUCAUUUACUAGGUGGGUGGACUUAAUGGAUCUUUUGAGUUGAUGGUCUUCAUACUUUACUGACUGAAAACGCAUAUAAAGCUGAUCUUUGGGGGUCCGAUCAUGAGAUAUGUUGUAAAGAGUCUCUUGCUUGUUCUUCUUAAAGAAAUAAGUCCACUUGGAAAAUUGUUUUACUUGAAAUUAUUCUCUGCAAUAUUCAUAAGUGCUACGAUUCAUAAAUUGCAAAGUACAAAGUGACCGAAAAGAACAUUUAACUCUCUGUAACUUCAAGUCUCUCAACAUUCAAUUAUCUUUACCAACAAACAAUCAAUCCAUUCCCCACUUUAUUAGAAAAGUUUCUAAACUUCCAUGUUUAAAGAUUAAAGAAAAAUAAGGCAAACUUUCAUGCAUAGCUGGAAAUGAAACAAAUCAAGACAAAAGAGAGAACAUAUACCUUUCUCACUUGAUCACAAUAGAGACAAUGUGAAGCAUUGAAAGCCAUAAUCAGAUAGAUAGAAGUGAUAGUUGUGCCUGAUUAUUUUCUGAAUACAAUCAAAGAAAGAGCAAAAUCGUUUUCCAACAAGACAACUAAACAAAAGAAUCAACCUCAUGUAUCACAAGCCAUACUUUUAACUAAACAGAGCUGGCAAUCAUGUGUCUACUACUUUGUUCUACUACUUAUACCAGACAAGAAGUCCAGAGAUCGAUUUUGAAGACGAUUUAUCAUAAGUCUUGUGAAUCUCAUUACCAAAGAAUCCUUAGCACUCCUCCUUUAUGUUUACAUAUUCAAACCCAACAUCAUAUCAAUCACAGUACUCAUAUGACAAUUGAGAGAACAAGUCUAAAUGUUUAAAUAAAUUCUCCUUCUUAAUUAUGCUCAAUGCGAAAAUUGAGAGAAAAGUAUAUGGGACAUUGAAUUGUACGCAAAUUACAGUAAGAAAAAAAGCAUUAAUUUUUUGUUAGAAGAUGUCAGUUAAUUCACAUAAAUACAAAAGAUUCUAAGAAAUAUUGUUCGAGAGGUGUAAACAGUGAAAGAAUGAUACAAAUUACCAAGAGUUUUGUUUAUAAUUUCACGUAUGAGUUGUUGUUCACAACUUCACAUAUGAUUUGACUGAGCACACAAAAAGAAAAAUAGUAAUAAUAAAAAAGAGAAGUUGAGAAAGAGACGACGAGACUCAUGAAUGGUGUUUACGAUCUAGGGUUAGUUUUGGAAAUUACGUGAGUGUUAAUAGCAAUAAUAUGAUGUUUUUAAAUUUGUGAUGGUGUUUAUUUAGUAGAAGGGUUUUAAGAGAACAUUAGAGGUGUGCCAAUAGCACCACUCGUUCUUUUCAUGACCAUUUUACCGUGGUCCGUUUGGGCAAUUUCUUCAUGUCUUAGGUAAUGAUGCUUACCUCUGGUGGAUGUAGGCCAGGGCAUCUCAAUUUUAGGAGUAUCAAUCUUCAAAUGAUUCUUUGAACUAAGUUUUAGCAAUUUCUUAAUAUUUUAGGCAUAUGCAAUUUGAUUGCUUCUACUUAAAUUUCACCAACUUCUUCAUACUAUAGUUGUAUACACUGCAUUGUUUUUAUGGAUGCAGUCAAGCAUAUCAGUUUCUUUUACCUAUCAGAGCAGUCAGUUCAUAUUACCUUGUUGUGCAUGCAUAGGAUGUCUCAGAAGAAGAAACUAAGAAAUUGGCUCUGCCAUUGCAAGUUGAGAACUUUGUAAAUUGACAUUGACACAAUUAUUUCUCAUGUAAAUUUGAGACAUUUUGGCCAUCACAUAAUCUGAGCUUUGAGCCUCUUUCAUUCUUAGAUUUUAAUAUACUUUCUAUCUCCAUUUUGACCAUUCACUUUGUAAAUGAUGAACAAAAAAUCCCGGAUCCAACAAACCUUUGCAUGUUUGCACUCACAGCACAAACAGAGGGGAGCAUUUCCAUGAAAAACAAAUCCUACAUUUUUCUUUCUGUUAAAGCAAGGUGGAGUCCUGGAUCUUCCAAAACUUGUUCAUUGAACUUAAAAAGAUUAUAUCAAAACCUGCCUUUGAAUUUCCAGGGGGAAAAAUUGAAACAAAAAAAAAAAUAGACAUGAUUCUAUGAAAUUGAUUUGACAAAUGAAAAUAUACCAAGCAGGCUGCGGGACCAAAAGCGAAUGAUUCCCAUAGAAUGAGAUGUCAAUACGCAACCAUUUAAUGAAGAAAGAUAAAUGGACAAUAUGAAGCAUUGACCGCAAUAGCUGCACCUGCUUAUUUUCUGAAUACAAUUGAAGAAAGGGCAAAAUCAUAUGCCUGCUGCUUUGUUCUACUGAUAACACCAAACAAGAAGUCCAGAGGUUUUGAAGCUUUCGCCGAGCCAUUAAGUGAACCUACACAACUACCACCACCAUUAUUACUACCCCUUGUGGCGCUAUUUUGGGGUCAUAUGGUGCCUUCCAGUAUCCUUGUGCUGAGUAAUCUGAAUCAAAUGCAGUAUUGUAUUACUUCAGCAAGUCACACCAGAUAAGUGGGAUGAACAACCGUAGUCAUGACACUCUCCAUGUCACAGCAAUGAUCCACAGUUUCAUAACAUAUUUGAAAGGAAGAGUAACCAGCAAAGCUAGCAAAAAGAAAUGGAGGGAAUUGUUUAUAAAAAUGAUUCAAAACUUGCUUUCCUUUUCAAAUGAAGCUUCAGCUAAAAUACUUUUGGUGUGCUAAAAGCAAAUGUAUCGAUCAUAUUGUCAUCUACAAAAUUUUGACCAUGAGCUGCCAAUUGACUCCUCUUGAAGAGACUUUCUAAGUCAUCAAGCAACCACUGUUUUUGCUAUAGUUUGGCCUUGAUACUGCUUAUAUUUCUCCGCCGUUUGAAUUAUCAGCGCCUAUAUCAGCUGAAAUUGAAUCAUGUAAUCCUCUCAACUAUAUGCUCUCAAUAAAUUCUUUUGUUGACAGAAUAUUAUCUUUUGAAAGAUAAUAUUCUUUUCACUUUUAACAGGAUUGCAGAACCUAGUAUUUGCUUAUUAUUUGGGCAAUAAAAUUCAACGAUAUAUAAAAACAAUUCUCCGUUUUGUGCUUUAAAUAAAACUUUUGACUAUUAUUUUGGGCAAUAAAAUUCAAUGAUAUAUAAAAACAAUUCUCCGUUUUGUGCUUUAAAUAAAACUUUUGACGAAUUUUUUUUUCCCUCCUUAUCUCAAGCAUCAAUAUAAAAUUGCACACAUACAUAAAAAAAGAAAGAGCUACUAAUUUAUAAUAAAAAAAAUCAUCCUGUAACUUCAAAGGAAAAAGAAAUAGAAUAAACCAAAUAACAAAAAAAAAAAUUGAAGAAAAAAAGAAAAAAAAAUGCUAUUCUAAUUAAAUAAGAACAAAAAACGAGAAAUAUCGUAUGAUUAAACAUUUUUAGAAAUUUUGAAUGUGGAAAUCAUUAAAGAGAUAAAGAGGGGGUUGUUUGAGGAUAAUAGUGGUGUUAUUAGAAUAUGAACUUCUAAAUUAUUUUUUUUCUUUAAUCGACACAUCUUUAGGACAAAGAUUUUUUCAAGACUUUCUAAAGGGUGUUAGUUAAAAUAAUUUUAUUUAUAAUUUUCUUUAAAUAUAAUUUUAAUAAAAUAGAGGUUUUAUGAAAAUAAUCAAGGAUGCCAAUAGUCCAACGCAUAAUAAAUUCCAAGAAGAAAAGAAAUUGAUUAUGUCAAAAGUCCAUACUUUUCGACAAAUAGAAAAGCAUUGAGAUUCACAGUCAAGCAUUAUCGCGUUCUAUCAUACAGAAGGGUAUUUAGGUAAUUUAACUUCACAUUUGUUACUUUUGGGAUAGUCUCACAUUGUUGGCUUCCCUGUUCUCCGUGCUCCUUGCUAAGUUGCACCGGGCUUGGAGUUUGAUAGAUGAAUCAAGUCUUUCAACUAGGACUCAAAGCUUUCGUUACUCCUGCUGGGUACUUUCUUUCUUCGCUUUUUCAGUAAUAAAAAUGUAAUUUUUGUUCUGGGAUUAAAUUAAUUAGCUUUAACGAUUCAAAAUACUGUGCCUCUUCAUCCGCUGGUACGGUGGUAUUGUGUUCAUUUAUGACAGCUUCAGUUAUUCUAUAAAAAUCAUUUCUUUUAUAUUAAAGAAAUUAUUUUUGUCUGUUUUAAUAUAUCUCUUUUCUUCUUUAGCUUUGCAGUUACUCCAAGAAAUUUUAGAAUCGGAACCUUUGUCUCCUUCAGAGCUAUGAAGCCUAAACGGCAUCUUGCAAGUUCAUCCAAACCGGCAUCGUCUUUCAAUAACAUGGAAGAUGAAAAGGUGAACAGAUUAGUGGGUUCGACCCCAAAGGUGUGCCAUGGUUUUGAUUUUUGUUGCUGAUAGUUUUAACUUGCCUCAUUGUCUUGUGGGUUUGUGUAUCGAGUCACUGUCAAUAUUAGUUAGUGUACAAGAAGAUAGUGAGACAAUUGGAGUAAUUAAGGAAAAUUUUAACUGUAAAUUGAUGUGUAGGAUAUUGGUGUAGAAAGCGAUGAAGCUGGAAUUCAGAGUGUAAAGGAUAAUCCCGAGAGAAUUGAGGUCAUGACAGUUCAAGAACUCAGAACUAUAUUGAGGUAAGCCAAAGUUUUAAAGGCUCAACAUUCAGAAAGACAUGAAAUUUUGUAUCAUGCAUAUAUAACUUUCAGAAAAACCCACACGAUUUACGUCUGAUGUGCAUUCAGAUUAUUAGGUUUCAUUUGGGUUGCCUGAGAUAUGGAGGGGGGGUGCUUUUGUUCUGGAAGCUUCAUGACAAACUAGUAUAUAUGCAACUAACUGUAUAUAUGCAACUAACUUGAAAUGGUUGAGUUGUCAGCUUCUCUGUAUUACUUGCAUUUCUUGUGCCUCGUCUUGAACGGUCAAUGACGGUUCUUCAAAUUGAUUUGGAGAAUGAAAUCAAUUGAGUGGAUGGUUGAUGGGCAGAAUACUAUGUUGCACCUCUAUUUGUAGUGUUUGUUAGUAUGCUUAUUUCAUUCUUAAUCAUCAGGAGUAUUGGGGUCCCUGCUAAAGGUUCUAAACGUGAUCUAGUAUCCGCCUUGAAGGUUUAUGUGGAGAAGAAGAUGGAAGGUAAACUCUUUUUACCAAAGAAUCAAAUUUCAAUAUUCUCCAGUAUUUUGCAUAGCGUCGUGUCAUUUCCAUUAAGAUUGGAGCAGAAGUAUUUUCGUUACUCUCAAUUGUUUGUUUUACCUUUGUUCUGCCUCGUCCUUGUUCUCUCAAUCAGUUUUGGUUCAAUGCUAUGUUGCUUAUUUUUAAAGGUUGGAAGUUUCUUCUAUGUGCAGUUGGUAGUUCUCAUGUGGAAAUAGAAGAGGUAUCCUCCAUUUCUGCUGAAAGUGUAUCAGUAAAAAGGAAGGCUAAUACGAAAAGUAUAUCAGGGGAGAGGAAGGCUAAGAAGUUUUCUCAUGAGGAACAUGCUCAAGAAAUUUAUUCUGUUCCAGAAGUUUCUGCACUCCAAGAAAGUAAGAGAAGGGCUAAAAAAUCACCAAUUGGUGAUGAAACUGGUGAAGUUGAUGCUAAAGCCUCAGUCAAAACUGAUAAGAUUUCAGGUACAGUAGAAUAUAUGUAUACAGUUUUCACUGCUUUAUUAUUUUGAACUUUUGCUUCAUUAAUAAUCAUUUGGCAUCCUUUGUUAAUUUAAAAUGCACUCUUUCUCCAACUUACAUGUUCUUUAGGUCGUUAAUCUGAGUACAUUCGGUUUUAUCAGGAGCAUAGACACCUGGUUAUUGUUUCUAGGCAGGGUCCUUUUGAUAAAAAGUAAAUAAUAUUAGGUAUGUAUAUUAAUAGUGAAAUGGCUACUGAUGAUAGUGCAGUUACUCUGCCAACAGUCCAAAGUGAACCUUGGACAAUGCUUGCGCAUAAGAAGCCUCAAAAGGGAUGGAUUGCUUAUAACCCUAGAACUAUGAGGCCUCCACCUCUGGCAGAGGGUACAAAAUCUGUGAAGCUUCUGUCUUGGAAUGUCAAUGGGUUAAGAGCGUUACUGAAGUUAGAAGGAUUCUCUGUACUGCAACUGGCCCAAAGGGAAAAUUUUGAUGUAUUGUGCUUGCAAGAAACCAAACUGCAGGCAAGUAUUCCAGUACUUCUUGACGUGCAUUUAAUCUAAACUUGUAGAACAUGUGGGAACAGCAUGUAAAUGGUGUAAGGUUGUUUCUUUUGCCAAUUGCUUUCUUUGUGGUAUCAAAUGCAUCUCAAUGUUGGAAACAGGAAAAAGAUGUCGAAUCAAUCAAACAGUGUCUCCUAGAUGGAUAUGAGAAUAGCUUCUGGACAUGUAGCGCUUCUAAACUUGGGUAUUCUGGUACAGCAAUUAUCUCACGGGUAUGCUUAUUAUUUCCAUCAACUUUUAUACUUGAGAAGCCAGAUUAAAUCUUUAGAAAUCAUAUUUUCUCACUUUGUUUGAAAUUUUGUGGCAAUGUUUAUCUCUGCUGUAGUUUGAGCAGGGAGGCUGUUUUCUUGAACAAAGUAUUUUUUCCCCCUCCAAUGCUGAUUAUCAAGUGUCCAACUAUAUGCUGAUUGAUUUUUGCAUUGCAACUAUUUCUUUUACUUCGGUGAUGAUUUUGCUAAAUGGUUUGCGUUCUAAAGUUUUUAACAUUUAUUGGGUAGAUAAAACCACUCUCAGUCACAUAUGGCCUAGGCAUAUCAGAUCACGACAGUGAGGGACGGCUGGUGACAGCAGAGUUUGAUUCAUUUUUUCUGUUAAGCUGUUAUGUUCCAAACUCUGGAGAUGGCUUGAGAAGACUGGUGAUGAGCUCAAGCAUCUUGUAUUAUGUUGCUAAUCUAUUUUAUUCUUCGAAGAGUUUUUUGACUGAUGUCUAUGCUUUCAAUUCUAGUCAUACAGAAUUAGAGAAUGGGAUCCAUCUCUUAGCAGCUAUGUGAAAGUAAGUAUGUUCUCUCUCUCUCUCAAUUUAUUUAUUUAUUUAUUUUUUAUGCUUCUUUAUAAAUACUAUGUUUUUAAGUUACUAUAAGCUGUGGCUACAAAUAUACGUCCAUAUUAGGGAGACAUCUCUAUGCUUAUAUGUGUGUGUUUUUCUCUCUCUAUCAUUUUCUAGAAACAUAAGCCUUUAUGAUUCAUGUAGUUGUAACUUGUUGCUUUUUAGAAAAAAAAAAUCGCAUCUUUUACGCACGACCUCCAACAGUGUGCAACUUCUUCUGUUUCCUUUUCCUUUUAUUUUAUUUUUUUAUUUUUUUAUUUUUUUUAUUUUUUUGUGGAUGUAAUAUGUCUAUCGACAUGGUGUUUUUUUCUUCACAAAAUAGUUAGAUAUUUGAAGUGCCUUUGAUGCUUAUGAUACUUCAUAUGCAUGAUUCAGGAGCUGGAAAAGAAGAAGCCUGUCAUUUUGACUGGUGAUCUUAAUUGUGCUCAUCAGGAGAUAGACAUUUAUAACCCUGCUGUAAGUGAUUUAAAAUUUUGAAGCUGCAAGUAAAUCUUCUUCUUCUAGGAGCUAAGACUUGAACAAAAUAGCAUCCUCAAUUACGAUGACAUCGGAAUAUUUGCCACUGCAGGCUCUCUGUUACAAUUUAAGAACUCACUUCUAGUUUUAACAAUAAGUGUUGCUUGUUAAUAUUUGCAUCAAUUUGUAGGGAAAUAGAAGAAGUGCUGGCUUCACAGAUGAAGAAAGACAAUCUUUUGGCGCAAACUUCUUAUCUAAAGGUUUUGUAGAUACCUUCAGAGCACAACAUCCUGGUGUUGUAGGCUAUACUUAUUGGGGUUAUAGGCAUGGUGGGCGCAAAACCAAUAGAGGUAGAGAACUUCUACCUUGAUUAUUCUAUAGCUGUAUCUAGAAAGUACUUAUUUUUUACCCCUCAUUUGCUGUAUUCUACUCUGUCAUAUUUUCAAGUGUUCUCCAUUUCAGCAAAUUUCUGUGCCUCAAAAUGCUCUUAAUUUAAUGUCUGUCAAAAUUUAAAUACGCAUUAUCCUCUUUUGACUCCAUUUAUUGAACAGGGUGGCGGCUUGACUACUUCCUAGUAUCAGAAUCUCUAGCUGAUAAGUUCCAUGAUUCAUACAUUCUUCCUGAUGUUACCGGUAGCGAUCAUUCUCCAAUUGGCCUUAUUCUCAAGCUCUAGUUCUUCUAUUGGCGUCAGAACCAAUUAUUGCGGACAAUUAGGGUAGGCUUAUCUGGUGGGUUAAUCUUUAUUUCCAACUUAAGAGAACUACCUCUGAUGACAGGAAACUGAGACUGGUCACCAUGUUGUCCCCAUUAUGUUGGUGUGACCAUGGUAAGCAUAAAUGCUUCGUCUCAAUCUCCUACCUAGUAUUGAUUUGAUUUUGUCUGUGACAAAAUUUUGAAGAUGUUGGAAACUCUGUACAGAUCCAGCAGAAAUUUUCGGUUAGGAGGCACUCAAAUAGACACUAGUAUUUCUGUACUUGACCGCGUUGGCCGUUCGGAAACUAGCCAUUUUCUGAUUUUCGAAAUUAUCAUUGUUAAGUACCAGAUUUUGAGGAGUAUUUGUCUGAUAUUCAGGAAUGGUGUUAGCUCUUUGCAUUAUGCUAGCAUGGUUGCUCACCUGAGAGUGAGAGAUAAUAGCGUAAGAUUGUUGUUGCAUAUUCUCGAAUAGUCACUUCCAUGCAUGGUAAGUUGGGGAAUUUAUGAAACAGAUUCUGAUGAGUGUAAACAUAGUGCCUUUCGUUGAGAAACAGACAAUGAUUAUAAUUUGCAGCUGC
rnacentral:lncRNA from 1 species